rnacentral:lncRNA from 1 species
CUGGAACAAUACUUUUCGCGUAAUCUAUAACCCUAUUCCUAUAGAUAAUAACAGGAAUAUGAAGAUACUUGAGAUUUCCGGUAUUAGAAUUAUAAGAGGUGGCUCUUCCAUCGGAGGCAAUCAUAAGAAGCUCGUCAUGUUUCCGAAGUGUCAAUGGAAACUCAAUGCCCUUAAAAGGUCCAGCUGUUAGGUGUUUUGUCCAUGAACUCUUAACUCCGUCAUAGUUAUCCAUUACCCAUAUUUCGAAUAAUCUGGAACGCUCUUCGUAACUAGUGCAAUAAUAAGUGAUGGAUUCAUUAUACAGAAAAAUACCAUCAAGCUUAAAACCAGAUUCUCUCCUAGAAGGCAAUUCUAUCCUAUCGAAUAUCUCAUCACCUAAAUUAAAUGAACAUAUGUAUUCCUCGUCAUCGCUUGAUAACCAAUAACAAAAUCCUUUCAAGUACACUGAACAAGAAUAGGGAUAGCUAUACAAUGAUAAUAUUUUACUUGAUAUAUUUAUCUUAAUCUCUUUCCAAGAGUUAGCAGUUGUUGUGUAUACCUCAGCCGUGUGAGGAAGAGCGGUAUGUUCAAUAUAUGUUUCUUCACCAUCUGAAUACUCGCAAUCAUAAUUUUCUAUAAUUCGCACAACCUUGUAUUCUUUAGCUUUACAAUCAUAGCCAAAUCCCAAUCCUUUAACGGUCGUUUCCAAUCCAAAUUUUCCUUUUCCCCUGGGAAGGGGUAGAAGAAGGCGUGAAUUGGGAAGUUGACUGAAUUCCCCCGUUGCUGGAUUGCACAAAAAAAAAUAUUCCCCUACUGUUACACAGACAAUCCCAUUGCAAUAACCGUGAAUCUCUACUUCAUGAUGGUCUUCCCAUUGCAAUAACGGUACAUUAGUUAGGUCCUCAACAUCAUAAUGAAGGUUGCUCUCAUCACUAUCAAUGGAAAAAUUAAUCAUGGACCAGAAAAAUUCUCGUUUCCAACUAUCGUAAGGGAAAAUGGGCGUCUGAGAACGGUGGAGAAGAAUACACGUGGAGGAUGAUAGUUUGUUGUCCACGGAAUUGUUGAUGUGUUUGGCCACAAAACGAGGACUAUUGAUGAGGGUGCACCAAGAAUUGCGUAUGCAUUUAAAUCGCAUCAGAGACUUGGGUGGCAACCUGGACAGGAUUUCGACCACCCUAUCUUCAGGAGCUUCACUUUCAUGCUCCUGAGACAUUUUGGCAGUUUUGUUCCACAAGAAUUGUUCUCACGUAUAUAUACAGAGGAAAGAACACCACGAGUUUGAGAGCAAAACUAAAUCAAACUCCAAAUCCCUAUGGCCUGGUAAGUCAAGGUUCAAUUGAUAAACAUAUUACCACAUAAGAUGCCAAAGUGCAACAGUACUAAAUAAACUUGGAGUUCCACAACCACAACAUAUUUAGCUAUCAAAGAAAACGGGGGGCCAUCCAGUCAGUUUCGAGUUUUAUGGAGAAUCAUAUGUUCAUAUUUUUAGAUUUUUAGAUUUUUUUUUAUUGAUACAAAAAUGACCAUUCAAAUUUUCACCUUUUUAGACUAAGGUUAAAUUGAUGAUAAGGUGAGCAUGAUAUUCGUAUAUAGGUCAGCGUGUAACAUGACAUGAUUUUAAUUAACAUAGGAAAAUUCAUAUAUUACACAAGUUUUAAUUAAUUAAGCCAAUUUUUUUUCAUUAGAAAUACUAGACGUGGCAUUCGUAUCAUGUUUUCUGUGUUCAUGUCAUUUUUGUGACAUAUCUAAUAGCUUAACGGUUGUGUCGUGUAACACUGUUAAAAUAAAUGGGUAAUGUGACCCGUCCCUUUACCCUUAAAGAAAAUAUUUAUUAAAUCAAUAAAUAAUCAAAUGAAAAACGUAAUACUAAAUUAGUAUCUACAUACCACAUUGUCACAUAAAUAUUACCUCAAAACAUAAAAACAUAUUUGUCUUUCAAGUAUCACAUAGACCAAAAUAAGAGCCUAAUCGAAAAAACAUUAUUACAUUACAACAAAAUAUCAAAUGUUCAAGGAUAUGCACAAUCACUGUUCUAAAAAUCCCCACCUAGCACCGCCUUGGCCUCGCCUAGGCGCUAGAUGGCUAGCCACCGCCCCGAUUAAUGCCUAGGCACUUGAAAAUUAAGAAAUGGUGCCUAGACCUACUGAGGCGCUUGCCUAGACCGCCUAGGCACCCUCCUAGUCCGUCCAAACCCACCUAGGCACUCGCUUAAGUUGUGACUCACUUAGACAGAAACUAGAUAACUUUGCAUUUUAUUUUUCUAAAUAAAUUGUAAGAGACUUGUUGAAUACUUCAAUGAACACACAUUAUAUGCUUGUUCCCCAUUUUUUCAUUAUGUUCCAAUACUUCAUAAUAUAUAUGUAAUUCUAUUUUGUAGUUUAUGAUGAAAUUACAUAUAUUUGAAGUUUAAAUAGAUACUUAUUUACAUGAAACAUAAUGCAUUUACCUAGUCCACCUAGAUGCCCUCCUAAGCCCUGCCUAGCCGCUUAGGCCAUCUCCAACCGAAGGAUCCAGAGGGCCAGAGGGCCGAAAAUAGCCCUAAAACCUUCUCCAACCGAGGGCUAGGCCAGAGGGCUCGAGAAUCUGGGAGGGCCCCAUGGAAUUUCAAAGGGCCAAAGGGCCAAAGGGCUGGCUGCUUCCGGCCAACCAGCCAACCCCGGGCUGGCUAUUUUUUUUUUUUUAUAGUUUUGUUAUUCCUGUCGGUUAUGUUUUUUAAAAAAAAUUCAAAUGAAACGGCUAUUAGCCGUUGCAUUUCAUUUGAUUUUUUUUUUACAUUAUUAUUAUUUUUUUUUAUUUACAAAAUUUUUCAUAUAACUUCUAUUUUUUCCUAUAACUUCUAUUUCACAAAAUUUGAUUCAUAUAUUUUUUUUAAAUUCCAUUUUUUUCCUAUAACUUCUAUUUCACAAAAUUUGUUUCAUAUUUUUUUUUUCCUAUAACUUCUAUUUCACAAAAUUUAUUUCAUUUUUUUUUAAAUUCCUUUUUUUUCCUAUAACUUCUAUUUCACAAAAUUUAUUUCAUAUUGUUUUUUAAAUUCCAUUUUUUUCCUAUAACUUCUAUUUCACAAAAUUUGUUUCAUAUAUUUUUUUUAAAUUCCAUUUUUUUUCCUAUAACUUCUAAAAAGGUCGUACCCAGUGCACAAGGCUCCCGCUUUACGCAGGGUCUGGGAGAGGUGAAUGUCGGCUAGCCUUACCCCCAUUUAUGGAGAGGCUGCUCCCAAGUCUCGAACCCGAGACCUACCGCUCAUGGGCGAAGGCACUUGCCAUUGCACCAAGUGCGACCUCUUUUCCUAUAACUUCUAUUUGACAAAAUUUGUUUCAUAUUUUUUUUAAAUUCUAUUUUUUUUCCUAUAACUUCCUAAGCCAUUAUACAACAUUAAAUUAAAUUAAGUAACAUGAAACAACAUUAAACAAUAUGAAACAACAUUAAAUAACAUUAACCAACAUAAAAAUUAUACAACAUGAAACUUAAACAACAUUUUAGUUGUAGUUUUUAAAUAAUAAAUUAUGUUUGGCCCUAUGGCCCUUUGGCCCUCGGUUGGAGACGAUUUUUUGUGACAGGGCUAAAACGAGCCCUCUAGCCCUUUGGCCCUCGGUUGGAGACGGAGGCAAAUAUGGCCAUGUACUGUGCAUUAAAAUAUUAAUAUCUUGGAGAAUCUUGGAGGGCCAGAGGGCUAAAACGAGCCCUCUGGCCAGCCCUCGGUUAGAGAUGGCCUUAGGUGUUAGGCCCCAGCCCGUCGCCCGACUAGCACCUAACGUCUUUUAGAACCUUGUGCACAAUAAAGGAAGUUGAGCCCUUGAGUUUUCUGCAUCCGCUUAAAUAUCAUGUUUAAAAAAAAAAUUGAAAAAUGAAAUCCUAUGAGAAGAAUAGAGUGUAAACAACAAUCCAUGGUUAAAUAUAAAUCUAGGGUUUAUGGAUAAUAGUGUCACAUUUCAAAGUUGAUCCCUGCAUGAAAGUUGUAAAACUUGUCAUUACGAGUGAUUGUAUUUUUAAAUUUUUUUUUUUACAUUUUCACACUUUUACAUUAAUUUUUAUUAAUUUUGUGCUCAAACAAACAAAGAAACUGUUCAUGACGUUUUGGAGGGUUUUAAAAAUCUAAACGAUAAUGUAACCAUUCUGUAAGCGUAGAGGAUGCAGUCACAAGCGUCUAUAUAUUCUUUCACAUUUUUCAACUUUUACAUUAAUUAUUAUGAAUUUUUAUUUAUUUUUAUCUCCCCCUAAAAACAUAAUUUGUGAGGAUUUGUAUGGUUUUCAAAAUUCAAAUGACGAUGUACCCAUCGUCAAAGUACAAGGGAUGCGAUCAUGAGUGUUUGCAUUUUUUUUCACAUUUUUCACACUUGUAAAUGAAUUAUUAUGAAUUUUUUUAACAUGCUUUGGUAAGUUUAAAUUGCUUUGUAUCUUUAAUGUGUUUGGAAAAAAUUUAAUGUCACCCACUUUUCUUCCAUAAAUAUCAUCAAACACCAACACCACAUCCACAAACACCUUAACACAGCUUCCAAAGCACCCCCAAUUUUUGUACUUCAAUAUAGCAGUUCUAGCUUGGAAGGUAAGGGGAACAAAUGUUGCCCAAAACUCAAAAACACUGCUCCACCGCCUAAAAGUUGAAGGGCAAUUAGUAGGUCCUGAUAUACCCAACUUAGGCCAUCUCCAAUGAAGGAGGGCCAGAGAGCUCGUUCUAGCCCUAUAGCCCUCCAAGAAAUUAAUAUUUUAAUGAACAGUGUCAGGCCAUAUUUCUUGCCAUCUCCAACCAAGGGGCUAGAGGGCCAUAGGUCACACAUAGCCCUAUGACAAAAAACCAUCUCCAACCGAGAGGGCCAAAGGACCAUAGGGCCAAACAUAAUUUAUUAUUUUAAUUGAAUUAAUAUGGUUACUUAAAUAAAACUACCUCAAUAAUUUUUCGAGAUGGAAUGUCAAGAUUUUUCGAGUUGGAAUCUCAACAAUUUUACGUCUCGGAUUUCAAGUGCCACGUGUCUAUCUGUGAGUAACUUUGUAGAUUUUUUGUCGAUAAGGAAUCUCAAUAAUUUUAUGUCUCAAGCUUUGAGUGCCACGUGUCGAUCUAUGAGUAACUUUGCAAAUUUCUUGUCCAUACGUAAUCUCAAUAAUUUUUCAAAUAGGAUUUCAAGUGCCACGCGUCGAGAUGUAAUUGGUUGUGGGAAUUUUAGAUAGGAUUUUAAUCUUCGUGACACUUCUUAUCUUCAGCUUCCAAUGUCCAUCAUUAGGGUGGAUAUUGGCCUAUAAUUCACACACCUUCAGCUUUGCCCUCUCCAAUAUCUCUUUCAAUUCAAGUUUGCAAUGAAUUCCAACUUUGGAUCCUCUUUGGCUUCAAACUGGGGGUCCUUAUCCAAUUCCGAAUUGGAAGAUAAAUGGGAGCAGAUGAGACGAGAAGAUGAAAAGUCCGAUGAAGAAGAUGAAGCAUGGCACAAUGCACCAUAUAUGGCAACCAUGGAUGAGGUCAUGGCGUGUGAGGCAACUGAAGAACAACCUCAAUGCGGUGUAUAACGAAAAGGAUUUUAAAAGUCGCUUCCAGAUGAGGCGUCAUGUCUUUAAGCGUUUACUUCAUGAUGUCCAACAUAUCAAUCAAUACUUUCGACAGAAACUGGACAGAUCAGGGCACCCUGGUUUCUCACCUCAUCAAAAGGUUACUAUUGCACUCCAAAUGCUAGUUUAUGCCUCCUUAGCUGAUGCGAUGGAUGAUACAUAUAGUAUCUUGCUGCAUUCUGUCGCACAGUUGUUUAGCUUUAUAAAGAGGAGUACAUCCGUCAACCAAAUCAAGCAGAUCUCGAUCGGCUCCUUUGCAAAGCUGAAGACCAUGACUUUCCGAGCAUGAUAAGGUCAUUAGAUUGCAUGCAUUAGCAUUGACAGUGUUAAAUGAGCAAGGGGGUCAUAGAAACUUCUUUUUGAACGACUUCACUCAAAUUUGUUUGGAAGCAUAUGCUCCUAUCAACUUACACAGGACACACAAAAGAAGUACUUUGAUCCUAUUAGACGAGGGAGGGUGAAGAAGCUAGGACAGAAGGGUAGAGUUCAAGAGAGUAGAAUGUGUUUAGGAACGUGGAAUAUAGGAACCUUAACGGGAAAAUCUGUGGAAGUAGUGGAAGUUAUGGUGAGGAAAAGGAUAAGUAUUAUGUGCCUACAAGAAACUAAGUGGGUUGGUCUUAAGGCAAAGGAUCUAGAAAACUCAAGUUUUAAACUUUGGUAUUCGGGCACAAAUAAAAUGAGAAAUGGUGUUAGCAUCAUCGUGGACAAGACCUUGACACAAGAUGUUGUAGAUGUCAAAAAGGUAGGAGAUAGAAUUAUGGCAAUCAAGAUUGUAAUAGGACAAGAACUCAUCCAUGUGAUUAAUGCGUACGCACCUCAAGUAGGGUUGGAUAUGAGUUUGAAGGAAAAAUUUUGGGAAGAUCUUAGAGACUUGGUGCAAGGAAUUGCUCAGACGGAGAAGGUAUUUAUAGAAGGAGAUUUAAAUGGACAUGCGGACAAGGAGACAGGCAACUAUGGAGGUUUUCAUGGUGGCCAUGGUUUUGGGGAGAGAAACGAGGAUGGGGAAGCCAUCUUGGAUUUUACAAUGGCAUAUGAUCUCUUCUUAGCCAACACCUUCUUUAAGAAGAGAGAAGAACAUGUGAUCACCUACAAGAGUGGGUCGGCAAAAACACAAAUAGAUUUUCUUCUAAUGAGGAAAGGAGAUCAUAUAACUUGUAAGGAUUGCAAAGUUAUACUGGGAGAGAGCUUAGCUAAUCAACAUCGCUUGUUGGUUAUGGAUGUACAUAUCAAAAGAGAGAGAAAAAAGAACAAGACCUGGAAGUGCCUAAGUACUAAAUGGUGUAAUCUAAAAGGAGAAAAACAAGCCAUUUUCAAAGAGAAAGUAAUCACCCAAUGCAUGUGGGAUAGAGAUAGGGAAGCUAGCCAAAGGUGGGAUUCCAUGGCUAGUUGUAUCCCAAAAGUAGCAAAAGAUGUAUUAUGAGAGUCCAAGGGCUUUGCUCCACACCAAAAUGAAUCUUGGUGGUGGAAUGAGGAGGUACAAACAAAGGUGAAGGCUAAGAAGGAAUGUUGUAAAGCCCUAUACAAGGAUAGGACCACUGAAAAUGGUGAAAUGUAUAGAAUAGUGAAGCAGGAGGCGAAGAAAACUGUGAGAGAAGCUAAGCUAGCGGCUUAUGACGAUAUGUAUAAGCGACUAGAUACCAAAGAAGGAGAGUUGGAUAUCUAUAAACUAGCUAGAGUAAGGGAAAAGAAGACAAGGGACCUAAACCAAGUGAGGUGCAUCAAAGAUGAGGAUGGAAAAGUUCUUACUACAGAGAACGCGGUCAAAGACAGAUGGGGAAGUUAUUUUCAUAAUCUGUUCAAUGAAGGACAUGAAAGGAGUACUUCUUUGGGGGAGUUGAGUAACUCAGAAGAGUGUAAAAACUAUUCCUUUUACCGCAUAAUCAGGAAGGAAGAAGUGGUUGUAGCUUUGAAAAAGAUGAAGCAUAGAAAAGUAGUGGGCCCAAAUGAUAUACCAAUCGAAGUGUGGAAAGUCUUGGGAUAGACGGGUAUAGCAUGGCUCACAAACCUUUUCAAUAGGAUUUUGAAAAUGAAAAAGAUGCCAAAUGAGUGGCGAAAAAGCACUUUGGUGCCUAUCUACAAGAAUAAGGGCGACAUACAAAAUUGCAUGAACUAUAGAGGUAUUAAGCUAAUGAGUCAUACAAUGAAACUCUAGGAGAGAGUCAUUGAGCAUAGAUUGAGGCAAGAGACACGAGUUUUGGACAACCAAUUCGGGUUCAUGCUAGGGCGCUCAACCAUGGAGACAAUCUAUCUCUUACGAAGAUUGAUGGAAAAAUAUAGAGAUAGGAAAAAGGAUUUACACAUGGUCUUCAUAGAUUUGGAAAAAGAAUAUGAUAAGGUCCUAAGAGACAUUUUUUUGGAGGAUUUUAAAAAAGAAAGGAGUAUGAGUAGCACAAAUCCAAGCUAUAAAGGAUAUGUAUGAUGGAGCAAAGAUUGCCAUAAAAACUCAUGAAGGACAAACCGAAAGCUUCCCCAUAACUGUUGGGUUACAUCAAGGCUGAUCCUUAAGUCCUUACCUUUUUGCAUUGGUAAUGGAUGAGUUAAUGAGACAUAUUCAAGAUGAUAUUCCUUGGUGUAUACUUUUCGUUGACGAUAUAGUGUUGAUAUAUGAAACUCAGGAAGGGGUAAAUAAGAAGCUUAACCUUUGGAGAUAAGUGUUAGAAUCUAAAGGUCUUUGCCUAAGCCGAUCAAAGACAGAAUAUAUGGAGUGCAAGUUCAAUGCAAAUAGAGGCCAAAAUGAGUUAUGGGUGAGGAUCGAAGAUCAGGAAGUAUCAAAGAGUGACCAUUUUCGCUACAUAGGAUCUAUCUUGCAAAAAAACGGAGAAUUAAAUGGAGACCUCAACCAUAGAAUACAAGCUGGAUGGAUGAAGUGAAAGAGUGCAUCUGGCGUGUUGUGUGACCACCAUAUGCCAUGAAGCUCAAGGGAAAAUUUUAUAGGAUGGCAAUAAAGCUGGCGAUGCUGUAUGGCACGGAAUGUUGAGCGGUGAAGCAUCAACACGUACAUAAAAUGGGUGUAUCGAAGAUAAGGAUGCUUCGUUAGAUGUGUGGGCACACAAGAAAGGAUAAGAUUAGGAAUGAGGAUAUCCGACGUAAAGUAGGAGUAGCCGAAAUUGAAGGAAAGAUGAGAGAAAAUUGGUUACAGUGGUUUGGACAUGUGUAAAGAAGGCCUACUGAAGCUCCGGUUAGAAGAUGCGACUACGGGACAGAGGUCCAGGGCCGAAGGGGUAGAGUAAGACCUAGGAAAACUUUGGAAGAAACUCUAAGAAACCACUUACAGUACUUGGAUCUAACAGAGGACAUGACACAAAACCGAGCGCAAUGACGUUCUAGGAUUUAUAUAACCGAUCCCACUUAGUGGGAAAAAGCUUUGUUGUUGUUGUUGUUGUGUUGUUUAAGUUUCAUGUUGUUAAAUAUAUUUUUUUAAUGUUGUUUAAUGUUACUUAAUGUUGUUUAAAGUUACUUAAUGUUAAAAAAAAUUAAAAAAUUAGGUAAAAAAAAUUCAAAUUUAACAGCUAGCUGACGUCAGCAAGUAGCCAUUGGGAUUCAAAAUGUUAGACCGACCGGGGCUGGCUGGUUGGUGUGGGCCAACCCGAUUCUCCAAUUGUGGCUUAAUGGGGCCCACAAGCCCUUUGGCCUAGCCUUCGGUUGGAGAUGGUUUUCAUGUCAUUUUGGGCUAUUUUUGGCCUAAUGGCUCUCUGGUCGAAUUAAUUAGAGUUGGUCUUAGUGCCAAGGCAAGCCUUGCUCAAAGCUGGCGCUUGCAAGCAAAGAUUUCUUAAUUUGUUGGGGAAUAUCUAGAAAUAGGACAAUUUCUUAAUCUUGGGAUAGAAAUAGGACAUUUCAAAUAUGCACACGCGAUGCAUAACAAUUAGACAGAAAUAGGAUUUUUCCUACACCUUGAAAUGACAUAAUUGCCCUUAUAUUUAAAUGGGUUCAUUUGUAAAUCCAAGUCAGCAUUUCUUCCUCCUUGUUCAAAAAUCUAUAGCGCCCAACCCUUAGCUUCAAGAACCCUAACCCCAAAUGGCACGACCUUUUUCCACCCCAUUUUCGAUUGACGAAAUCUUUUCCACCCCAUUUCCGGCCAACGCAACCCUUUUCCACCCCAAUUUCAGACCAACGUAACCUUUUAUGUCCACUCUAUAUAUUUAGGAGGUGUGAUGUGCAUUUGCACAUCCUUUCGAAAUAUUUGAAAAAGUUUCCACCCUAGCAUUUGUACAUCAUUUCCAAAAGAUUUCAAUGGUAAAAUCCAAAAAGAGGUACGCCUUGAAAUGAAAUUUCAUUAUUUGAACCUAGGUCUUGUAAAAUUGGGAAUUUUGGGUUUUGUGUGCGAAUUAGUGUUUUGUACUGUUAAGUUCUUGAUGUUAAUUUAUGUUAUGCUUGUGGUUUAGAGGUGGCAGAAAUUAAUUGAUUGAAACAUGUUCAUCAAUUUGUGCAUACUGAGUGCAUAAUCCUUGGAUGUCUAUAUGUUGGGCACACUUGAAUUUGGUUCAUGAAUUCGUUAAAUUUGUGUAUACUAUAUGAAUAUUCUUUGCAUAUCCUUUCGAUAUUGCUGCAAAUAUUCAAAUGAAUUUUGUUCAUGAAUUGGUAGAUACUUUCUAUGUGCAUAUUUUGUGCACUCACUGAUGUUGGCCAUACUUGAUUGUAUUUGGUUGAUGAACUCGUUUAAUUUGGCUAGACAAUAUGCAUAUAUUGUGCAUGUCCUGUGUGCAUGCUUAUCUUAUUUAAUUGAUUUGCUUAUGUUCUAAAUAUUGCAGGUCGAAAGUCAAAUCUGUGUCUUCAACAGAACUCAUGUGUCCACCAAAUGAGGUGUUUCCUGCAACCAUCUCCUAUUUGUCAUACGCCUCAAGGUAUCUAGGUAAUAUUUGAGGCUUUGUGUUUUGACCACUGGGUUGAUUGGUUCAGGCAGCUAACUCACUACAUUAUCCUUAGGGCUAUUAAGGAUAAAGUGAGUGAUGGUUCCAUCUCCUUCCUUUUUGGGGAAUAUGUCGCGACUUUCGAGAGCCACGAAAGAGAAAAGGAUAACCUUCCUUUAGGGACUCAGUUUUGAAGGAUUCCCCCCCUCCACCACCACAAAAAAGAAAAGGAUAACCUUAAAACAAUUGGAGGAUUAAUUCAACAUGUGCCAACAUCUAGAAGAUACGUAUAAGCUCAACCUACUGUACUUUGCCCAUUUUGCUGUUUUGGGCAAGAGAAUGAGUCAGCUAUUGACUACCACCUGUUUUAGUUGGUAGAUGAUGAAAAAGAAUGGGAGACAUAUCCCUCCCAAUCCGUAUCAUUCCAAGUGUUGGUGCCAAGCAUAUCCGCAGCUAUUUUGACCUGCCACAAGGUUGUAAAAGAAAAGGUAGUAGAGAAACCAGGGGGUGUGAUCCAAAACUCCUAUAACUUGAGGGGGUUUCCGUAUGUUUUUCAAGCAAUUUCCCUUUUAUUUAGUUGUUAUAAGUUGAACGCACUUUUGCAUUCAUUUCGUCUGUAACUUAUUGACAUUAUUGCUUUAAAUUUUGUAGAUCUGGUUGUUUGAAACAUCGUACUUAAGGUCCAAAAACUAUGUGAGGCUGCACAAGGACAACCCUCAGUUAUUGCCCCGAAUUUGCCAUUGGGACACCAACUUAAAUUCGUCCCAUCACAAGCUGAAGAGCGGUAUUUUUGCACAAAAAUCGAUGUAUGUUUGUUCCAAUUUUAAUAAAUUUUCUGAAUUUUGUAUUACGAAUAGGUUGUACUUAGGUAUACAACAUCAAUUUUUUCUGAUGUAGGUUAUUGUCCACCUGAUUACUCUAAUCGAGGAAGAAAAGAUGGCGCCUUACUGGAACGUCAUGUUUGAUGAUGUUGAGGCUAGUAGGGAUGCAACACCAAAGAACAAAAGUUUGCAAAUGCUGAUCACAACUUCGAGGUCACUCCUUCAUCUGAACCAAAAUAAAAGGUGAAGAAGGGAUACCACAUAUACGUGGGAGCGUUGCCAUCAUCGUCCCGACCAACGGUGAGUACAUAAAUCCCAGUAAAUUGUAGUUUCAAUUUAGACUAAUGUACUGUCUUUGAAUGGAGAUCGGUUUUGGUGGACUUAUGAUAUGAAAUCAUUAUUUUUUAUAUGCAGGAGUUUGAGUUUGUUUCUAAGCGACAAUUUAAAGAUUUUCAAUGACGAUAGAUAUCCGGUUUAGGAUAGUUGUAGAGACAUUAAAGGAUAAGUAUGGCCGCAUGGAGUUGGUUGUUGAGCUUGAGCGUUAUCGAGGCGACGCAGCUGGAAAAUCGUUAGACAAGCCCCUAACCCUUGAUAAGUCGAUAAGCUCACGGUGAGACAUAGAUAAUUUCCUCAAGGAUGAGAAGGUCGACAGUUCCCAUAAAUAUCCACCAGGUUAUGAAGAUCUCACUGCACUUUCCCCUCAAUCUCAAACUUCUACUGGCGAAGGGAAGUCGCUUGGGGGAACAUACAUAAUCGAAGGGACAGCCUGCUACAAAUUUUCCUACUUUUGAUGUCGACUUGCCAAAGAUAGUUGAGGCCCAAAAUGUAAACAAUGUCACCCAAUCAUUACUACGUAUAUUAGAGUUUAAAGUGAAGGGUAAGUUGGAAGAAGGGCAAGUUCUCUAUCUUCAAGAAGAAAAUGAGGACACAGAGGUCAGCGAGCAUAGCACCUACACUAAGGAAGGUGUCGACGUGAUUGAGGUUGUUAGUCUAUCUAAUUUGGAGCCCCUUCUGGGUAAGGGAAUGCAGUAUAAGCGAAAAGGAAUACAACUAGUGCACCCUUUCACCCUUCUCGAAUCCUACAAAAGAAGGAAAGUUGGCGAUGGUCGUUCUACUGAGGAUUUUGUUGUUGACCUAGAUCCUAUCCGAAUCAUCCCAAAGUCAGAUGUGGAGGUUUUUGUUGACAUCUUGACACAUUAGUGGGUUCGCCUAGGUAAGUUCACUUUCGAUCGUCAUUCAGACAAUUGAAUAUAAACUCGAUGUCCAUAUAUUCGUAACAACCUAUGGUUUUAUUUUUUUGUGUACCAGCGAUAAACUAGACCUAUAUGGAUUGGCUACUGUAGGUCAGGAUUUUUUUUACCAAACUCAUCCAGUACGAAGGUACUCUAAACAACAAUGUAAGUAAUUGUUCUUCAUUUGUAACUUGUUUCUGUUUACCACAGUAUAAGUGAGUACAAGAUUUUUAUUUUGGCUUUUACUAUGCAUUUGACCUUGGAUUUAGCACAUCAAUGUCAGCUUUUACCUUCUGAGGAAGCAUUCGAUAGAGCGUCCUGCAAAUUUAGGGGCGCGGUGGACAACUGUUGACUUUUAUUUCUAGGUAAGUGCUAUGUUAUUAUUGUUACCCUCUAAUCCGUGUACUUAUAUUCGUAAUACGAUUUUGCACCCGAUUUACAAAUAGGCACACAUGUCCUUAGUUUUUGUUUUAUGUGGGAAAAUCUAAAAUUGUGUUGCAACGCAUCAAUGCAAGAAAGUAUAAAAUAAGAAUAUGCGCAAUUUGAGACCCUUGGUGGGAAGGGUAAGUCCAAGGCAAAAGAAGCUCUGAUUUUUACACCUUCGAAGCCCUUGAUGAAGGUCAUGCCAGCUGAUGCAAGUGCAAUGCCACACACGGUGCAUGGAAUGAUGUUGACCAAGUAUUCAUCCCAUGUCAUGUGAAUGGCGACCUUGGAUGUUGGCUGAUGUCCAUCUUCUAUGUUGCACCAAUCAUGAUUUAUGAUUCACAUCUAUCAAGAUCGGGGUGGGCAAAAAUAAAGAAACAACUUGCUCAUAUGCAUUUCGUAAUACCUCAACUUUUAAAAGCGACGAGAUUCCAAAUUGCACGAAGCGAUUUAAAGCUAACCUCGAAAGCAAUGGACAAACCGUUUGAGAUUCAGACGAGGGCGAACUAUGGCCAACAGAAUAACGGGUACGUUUUUUUCGCACUUAUCUCAAACUUAAUUGUAAAUGUCUUAAAUAUCAAAUGUGUUGUAACCAGGAGUUAUUGUUUUCUGGUAGUGCAAACUGCAGAGUUUUCUUACUUAAAUUUGCUUACUACAUAUCAUCAGGCUUGGACAUUGACCAUAUACAACAUGAGAACAUGCCUUUUUUCAUACUCAAGCUUGCCAUUGAGUUCAUCAGAGGUCGUGCAUUUUUCUGAAUCAUUAUGUGGACACCAUUUAUUUCAAUACUUUUAUUGUUAUAACCAAACAAUUGAGUUACCAUUCAAAUCAUAAUUUGAGUACUUAGUAUGUAAUUGUAAUUUCAGUACACUUUGCCAUUGCAUUGUUUUAGUAGUCAUUAUGUAUUCUUAAUUUUACUACUUAGCUAUUUAGGGCCUUUUGUUACCAUUGGCUGUAAUUAGCGUAUUAGUGUAAUUUUGGUACACUUUGCAAUGACAUGGUUUCAAUAUUGAGCAUGUUAUUUUUAUUUUAUUACUUAGCAAUCAAGGGCCUUAUGUUGGCAUUUCUACUUCUAAGGUUCCUGAUGCUGCAACCUAUGUGCAUGUCUUGUUCAUGGCAUGUGCAUAACGUGUACAUGUGAUGUGCAUGACUUGAAGAUGAAAUGCCCAGUACUAGUUAUUAUAUUCAUUGUAAAAAAGCAACAUCGGAAAUGAUAGUGGAAUUCCAUUAAUAUACGUAGAUAGCACUGAACUAAUUAAACAUUAAGGUCCUUAUUAUGACAAACCACAUGCGAAAUGUCAAAAUAUAACAAAAUUUGAAGGGCCCACAAAAGAGUUCAAAUUAAAUUAUCCCUAGCGAAUGGCCCCAACAGCAAGUGCCUUGUAGUAGUCAACGAUUGACUUCCCGUUGACAUCCAUUUUGAUUGCAUAGCAGCGAAAUAUCUCAAACCCCUCACUGAAUCCCGACCGAAAGCCUUAUUUGUAUUGCUCGCCCAAUGCGUGUUUAUAUGCUUCGAAUGACAUAAACUUCUUGAUUUCUUUUGCCGCUAACAUCUCCACAGGUUGACGAGCUCUUUUCAAUUACCACUUCAAGGAUGUGAUGUUCUUCGCAUGAUCUUCCUUGUGCUUAGUAAUCCUCCCUACAAUUGUUUCAAGCUUAUACUGUUCGAAUGAGCCUAUGUCUUGCGUCUAGGGGAAGAGGGAAAUGAGCAUGAGUGAGAACAAGAAGAAGAAGAUUUAUAGGGGGAGGUGCGAAGGGAGCAAGGCUGGGAAUAGGAAGAUGAAGGUUUAUAAGGGGAGGUGUGAAGGGAGCAAGGCUGGGAACAGGAAGAUGAAGGUUUCAUUGCUUGACUGUGGUAUAUAUGUCUUCCUUAGAGGGAUGAGAGAAUGAGGUGUUUUGUGUUUCCUUUCCUUUUAUACACACAAAAUCACCAAAAUGAAAGGACAAUUAAAUUGAAAAAAAAAAUGAGAUAUGUUUAGUAUGUUUCCCAAAAUUCAAAAUUGGGCCCCAAAGUUUGAUGGUGGUUUGAAUUUCCUGUCUGGGAAAAUUGUGAAAAUUUAGUAUUUGUAAUUUUCGUGCACAUACUAUUCACGUUCUGUGCACAGUACAUGCAAGUUUUCCAUGCAUGUACCAUACACGCAGUAUGCACAUAGUAUAGACAUUGUGUGCACAAUGUAUGCACAUGAUAUGUACAAGUUGUCUAGGCAGAAUUUCAUAUAAUUUCUUUAGUUCUUUAGUUUUUGUCAAAAUUUUCUUUAGUUCUUUUAAAGAUAAUUGAAAGCAUGGUACACUAAAUGGCAAAAAAUAAAAGUGGAAAUAGUCGUUAAUCCCAUUUCAUUACAGUGAGUGGCAAUCCAUAUUACAUCAAAGUGAUCAAAAGUAUUAUCUUGAUGCGUCAAUGUCCCAAUUUAACAAGAAGGACAAUGGUGCAGCAAGUUGAGAAGGUCUCUGUAAGUUUCAACUUUGGAAGACUACAUAAAAAAGGGACCUUUACAGUCUAUAAAAAAGGAUGGCCAAUGCCACACCUAGAACAAACACCUACGAAGGAAGGUGCAUUUUUCGGUCACGUCGACAUCAAGCCCCUUGCCACCGCUGUGAAGAUUGGUGUACACCCAGAACAACUCAACUUCACCCUUCAUCUCUAGCUCCUUGGAGACCUUGAACUACUAACAUUAUCCUCAUAUAAACAGUGUUUCAAUUUGUGUUUCAGGAGUCUGACCUUCUAGCGGUUCUUCCAAGCUCUAAGUCUAUGGUCGUCCUUGAUAGACUUCAACGGCUCAAUUCUUGCCAUACGUACCUCUUUUUCCUUUUCAAUGUCGGCGAUCAAAGUCUUGAAAAUGCCGCAUGUUUCCUAGUCACGAGGUUUGCCGCAUUAAAAUUGAAGUUGCUAGUGAUUUCGUUCUCGCGGUCGAAUUCCCCGGUCGAUGUCGUAUAAUCAAACAUUAUUGAACAUUGCAGGCUUGGAGGCUGAUUAUGUGAUGAAGUUUGCAAUGUGUUAGUGUUAGUAUGUGUGUGUAUGUGUGUAUGUGUGCGCACAUGUGUGGAGUUAGUAAUGUGAAAUGUUGUGGUAUUGGCGCCAAGAAAUUGUUCUGGUUCCCUAGAGAAAGGAUGGAUACAUGGUGCCAAAAAAUACCUUGGUGGGAGACUUUCCACAAUUUUUUAACAAAAAAUGUGAUAAAGAGCAAUGUAUUGUACGCCUUGGGAUUCUCCUCAAGAAUUGGCACCAAAAGGAGUGAUACUUACCCCAUUAUUUUAAGGUUUCUUUUAUUGGAAAAGGCACCAUGCUUAUAGUUGUGUAAAUCCCAAUCUAAAAACUGGAAAUUGGUUAGCAAAAUUGGGCUUUGAUGGUUUGUUUGUAAAUGUAUUAGUUGGCAUCAUAACCUUAAUGCUAAGACAUGGUAAAUGAGUUGUACAUGUGUUGUACAUGACCUCACCUUUACGUCUUGUCUUAACCUACUUGAGGUGUGCAUACCAUGUAAAUGUGCAAGAUGUUCUUUCUUCUCAUGUCAACUCAUAAAUGUUUAAUAAUAAUAUGUUACAAAAAAAAAAGUUUUAAUUAGGGUUUUAUUCGGCCACUUAAUUUGACCCAAUGGGUUUUCAUCCAGAUCAUGGUAGACUUGUAUAAAUAUCCUUUUUUCACACGGACCCUAUCCCUAUUCAAUCUGGGUUAUAAACAUGACAACUGAAUAUCUUUCUUAUUUGCACAACAAAUGCACGACUCAAUGCAUGCACAAUAUAUGUACAACCCAUGCACAAGGAGUUGCUUCUAUCAUUUAAAAAAAAAACAAACAUUUUAAUCCAAAAAUACCAUGACAUGCAGAAUACAUGCACAUUACAGGGCACCCUAUGCAAUGGAAACAAUCAUGUGGUGUCAGGGAUAUCAACAAGUUCCGUGCAAGUCCGUUGGUUAUGACCAAGCUUCCGACGACACUUGCAUUCCCAAUAGAUUAUAUGUUCUCCUUGUGACCAGAUACGCCGCUUCUUGGGACUCCCAACCAGUACCUUCCUUGUCAAAGGUAAGACUAACGUGCAUGCAGCUAUAGUUUUGCAUUCCAUUGCAGAGCGGGGAAUACCGAGUAUAUGGAAUCAGAAUAGGUUGCCUUUCACACUAUACUACUUUAGUAAGUCAAAGCCAACUCAUAAAAGUUGCAGCUUGCAAAUAAGUAAGCUGCAAUGGCAUGUUUGUAGGGCAAUUGCUCAAGAUCGAAUUUUCAGCAAGUGCAAGUCUUGUUACGUAUAUCAACCACGGCUUCACUGUCUGUGUGGUAAACAUGAAACUUGGUGUCCCUUACUUUAUGGACACACAUGUGCCUUGCAUUCUGUACCCUUUUUCUUAUUUUUUUUUCUCACCAAGACCGGGGCACGUGGUAGUGAUCACACGUACUAUAUCCCGCCUUUGUCAAAACUAUUUUUGCAACGCCACCUAAUGAAAUCGAUCAAGUAAAGUAUGGGCAGCCCCAUUGCCAUGCGCAACAUCGCAUUAAUGCUCUCAGUAAAGUUAGUGAUCAUUACAUUGUACCUCUUCCCAUUCAUUCGAGCCAAUAACAACUUCUCCACACCCACAUCUUUUAGGUACUUUGCUACCAAGUCUUUGAUCUUGACGAAGUGUGUGUCGAACUCGGCACGAGAAUAGGAUUUCCUUGCCUUGUGGUAGUGGUAGAAAAAGUUGUCCUUCUUUUUUAGGCGAAACUUGGCCUUGAUAUUCCCUUUCAAGUGAUACAUGUUAAUCUUUUUUGAAAACCUUAUUGACCACGUUUGCAAUGCUUGCGUUGUAGUCCGAAAUUAUAACCAAAUUCAGUACAUCCUCAAUCAUUCCAUUGAGUUACUUGAAAAAUCACUCCUAGCAAUCAUUGUUCUUUAUGUAGCCUAUGUUGAAAGCCAAAGGGUAGAUGUUGCAGUAACAGUUGAACGAUCUCGCAACUAAAAGGACACCUUUGUACUUUGAAUUCAAGUGAGAUGCAUCAACCGUAGUAACUAUCCGCAUCCAUGACAAGAAACCCCUGAUUGAUGCACCAAUUGCAAAGACAAAGUACCAAAAACAAUGGUCUCCGUCGGUUAGGAUGGUUGUCUUGCUGCCCAGAUUUAGCCUCUCAAAUUUGGCACAAUAGGCAGGAAGAUUGGCAAAUGAGUCCUCAGGUGAACCGCAUCUUGAUGACAAUGCCAAUCCUCUAGCCCGAGAUGCUGACUAUUGUGACCCCGAGAUUGGUUUUAACAUCGUGCACACCAUCUUUGGCGCUGUAAACCAUAUCGGGAUCAUUGAACGUUUCCCUCAUCAUGUGACUUGUGGAGCAAAAAAUAAUCAUAAGGCGACAUGUGGAUUUUUGGAUGAGGAAGACAAAAAUACCCUUGAGGUGUAUCAGGAUUCCUAUGCGCAGGUAGUAGGCAAUCAUCCUCAACCAAGUCAAAAAUGCCCAAAAAAGGUAAAUAAGUUCAAACUUAUCUCAUCCAUCUUUGCUCCAUAUUCUCUACAAGAAAAUCAUUUCAAAACCUCUAAAUUAUUCCAUAUAAAUGGAGAUUAAUUGGUUAAUUAAUGAAUUAAUUCCUAAAUAAUUCAUUAAUCAACCAAUUAAAUUAUCAAUUAAGCCCAAAACUUACCCUAAAAGCCGGAUAUCCCUUCUCCAAAGGGAGCUGACCAUUUCCUCCUUUCCACCAAAGUUUUCCUUUUUUGACAUUGAUUAGCUAAUCUAUGAUUCAAUUGAUUAGCUAAUUAUACCAUAAAUUCCCGAAUACAUUCCUUUUAUAAUAUUAAUUCGCCAAUUAAUAUAUUUAUUCCUAAACAAUAUGUUAAUUGGUAAUUAAAUCAUCCAUUUUACCUCAAAAACUCCCAAAGGGCCGGCCAUCCUAGUUGAUCUCACCAUAUUUACCCAUUUCAUCCCAUUGAUUAGCUAAUUAAUUUGGUAAUAAUCCUAUUUUGCCAAAUUAAUUAGUCAAUUAAUCACAUAACUCCCAAAAUCAUCAUAAAUCAUGAACAAAACCCACAAACAAGGCUAAGUGGCCGGUCCUCUCUCACCCUAAGAGACCGGCCACUCUUCUAUUUAAACCCCUUUCUUUUCUUCAAAAUGGGUCUCUGAUUCUCUAGCAAAAAUUCCAAAUACUCUCAAGACACUUUUCUCCCUAAAUUCUAACUUUGGCAUCGGAGGUUCUUCGGCCAAAGUCCCCCCCCAUUCAUCGUGGGCACGUGAGGCUUUUGGCCUUGACCCUAAGGUAUAAUUGUUGUGUAGGUGCAAUUUUGUCCGAGACAAAAGAGGCGAAAAUUUGCAUCCACAUGACCAGUAAGCCGCGUGUUGACUUGCGGGUGACGGUCCUUCAACAAAGCCAAAUCACAUUGUGGGAAACUUCAUCUUUGGCAAUCUUAAACUCUUCAUUACAUUUCCGGUAUCCGAAAAUCCUCCAUGGACACCGGAUAUUCUUACACUUGACAAUGAGACACCCCUUCGAAGAUGUAUUGACCGGGUAUUGUAAAUUCGUUUUAAUCGAUUUCAAUCGAAACCUUUUCAACAGAUCUUGCUCGUCGACAAUAAGGUCAUCAUUGGAUUAAUCUAGGGCUCAUAUGAAAAAGGACAUCACGUCCUCAAAAUAAAGACUUUAAGAGAGCAGUUAUGCCUACGGUAGAAGGUUUAACUUGAUUAUAUUAAAUGAGUAAAAACUUAUAAGGUUUUUAAGAAGGGAAUUUCCAAAAAACAAAAACAUAAGGGUAUUGAUAAAUUAUUAAUUAACUCCAAAAAGAUAGUUAUAGUACACUUUCAAAAACAUUACAAAAUGUGGAAAUCACAAAAAUUAAAGGUUUCAAAAACAUUACAAAAUGUGGAAAUCAUAAAAACUAAUGGUAGCCCUUGAUAAGCAAACAUACUACAAUGACCACAAAGAAAAUUAAAUUUAAAGGAGAAAAAUGAAACUUUGCCCUCAACUCACUUGAUCGGAACAAUACUUUCCACAUAACUAAGAGUCUCGAAAUCAAUAACCUCAUUGAUAAUAGGAGGAAUAUGAAGAUACUUGAGAUUUCCAAUACUAGAAUUAUAAGAGAUGGCUCUUCCAUCGGAGGCAAGCAUAAGAAGCUCGUCACAUUUCCAAAGUGUCAAUGGAUACUCAAUGCCUUUAAAGGGUCCAACAGUUAAGAGUUUUGUCCAUGAAGUCUUAAUUCCAUCAUAAUCGUCCAUUACCCAUAUUUCAAAUAAUUUAGAAUCCUCAGUUGGAUCAUAAUGAGAGCAAUAAGAAGUGAUGGAUUCAUUAUACAGAAAAAGAUCAUAAAACUUAAAACUGGAUUCUCUCCUAGAAGGCAAUUGUAUUCUAUGAAAUAUCUCAUCACCUAAAUCAAAUGAAAGUAUGUAUUCCUCGCCAUCGCUUGCAAACCAAUAACAAAAUCCCUUCAAGUACACCGAACAAGAACUAGGAUAGGUUUUAGUUGAUAUAUCAAUCUUAAUCUCCUUCCAAGAGUUAGCAGCUAUGGUGUAUACCUCAGCCGUGUGAGGAAGAGGAAUACUAUGAUUAAAUGUUCGCUCAUCAUCUGAAUACUCACAAUUUUCUAUAAUUUGCACAACCUUGUAUUCUUUAGCUUUGCAAUCAUAACCAAAUCCCAAUCCUCCAAAAAUCGUCUCCAAUUGGAAUUUUUCCUUGGGAAGGGGUACAAGAAGGCAUGAAUCGGGAAGUUGCCUGAAUUCCCCGGUUCCAGGAUUGCAUAAAAUAAUAACAGUUUUCCCUGCUAUUACACAGACAAUCCCAUUGCAAUAACCGUGAAUCUGUACAGGAUGAUGAUCUUCUAAUGGAAACGGUAUGUUUAGGUCCUCAACAUCAUAGUGAUGGUUGUGCUCAUCACUAUAAAUGGAAAGAUAAAUCAUGGACCAUAAAAUUUCAUAUUUCCAACUUUUGUCUGGGAAAACCGGCAUCUGAGAACGGUUGAGAAGGAUACAAGUGGAGGAUGAGAGUUUGUUGUCUACGGAAUUGCUGAGGUGUUUGGCAACAAAGCUUGAACUAAUUAUAAGAGUGCACCAAGACUUGCGUGUGCAUUUGAAUCGCAUCAGAGAUUUGGAUGGCAACCUUGACAGGAUUUCGACCACCUUAUCUUCAGGAGUUUCGCUUUCACGCACAUGGAACAUUUCAAAAGUUUUGUUCCACAGGAAUUCUUUACACGUAUAUAUACACAGGAAUGAGCACCAACAGUUUGAGAGGCAAACUAAAUCAAACUCGAGGUUCAAUUACUAAACAUAUUUCCACAUUACCAAAAUCCAACAGCAUUAAAUAAAAUUGGAUUUCCACAACCACAACUUAUAUAGCUAUCAAAGAAAACAAGGAGAUCCAGUCAGUUUCGAGUUUUUCGGAGGAUCAUUCGUUCAAAUUUUAGUAUUUUAAUAUUUUUAUUGAUACAAAAUUAACCAUUCAAAUUUUACCUUUUAACUCUAAACUAGAUUACCUAAGAAAGGAAAAUUAACACGAUAUCCGGAUAUGGGCUAGUAUGUAACAUCACAUGAUUUUAAUUUAACUAAUUCAUAGAGUUUUAUUAAUUAAGCCAAUUUUUUCAUUAGAAAUACAAUCACAUAACCACUUUUCAUCUAAGUUUACCCCAAUUUUUAUCUACACUCCGUUAAAAUUUUAAAAUUAAACCUUUCUAAAUUCACCACAUUUAUUCCAAAAAUACACACAAAGACCAACACCUUUCCAAAACACCCUAACACAAGGAAAGGGAUCCCAUCCGAAUCCCUUUCCACCUAAUCCACCUAGUUCGGGAUCCGGGCCGCUCAAAUGUGAUCCAACAGCUACAGUUAUUAUCACUUUUAAAGGGACCUUGACUUGAAUUUUACAGCUUAAUUCUCAUUGUAUUGCAUAACUGAAAAUAUAUACAAGAUACAAUCCUUGUUCCAUAAAGAAACAAUAAACAAUAAAGAACACAAACAUAUAUCCUUCCUAAUAAAGGAUUCCUAAUAUUUACAAUAUAUUUACAUACCCUUUUAAUUAUUACUCACGGCAACACUCCCCCUCAAGUUGGAGCAUAAAUAUCACACAUGCCCAACUUGACAAGUGAGUCAUCAAAAGACCUGCUACACACGGCAUAAGUGAAGAUAUCUGCAAGUUGCUCUUCCGAGUUCACAAACGGUACUGACACAGUCUUCUUUUCAAGUUUUUCCUUAAUGAAAUGGCGAUCAACCUCCAUAUGAUUUGUUUUGUCAUGUUGUACCUGGUUCUCUGCAAUCUCCAGUGAAGACUUAUUAUCAUAAUACAAAUUUAUGGCCUCCUUUGGUUUGAAACCUAGACCCUAAAGUAACUUAUGCAACCAAAGAACUUCACAUACUCUAUGUGCCAUACCUCUAAAUUCGGUCUCAACUAAAGACCUUGACACCAUAUUUUGUUUCUUGCUCCUCCAAGUGACUAGAUUUCCACCAACAAACGUAAAGUAUCCAAAAGUAGAGCGCCUAUCAAUCAGAUCACCUGCCCAUUCAACAUCAGUAAAUCCCUCAAUCUUCAAGUGACCGGAAUUUUUAUACAAAAUUCAUUUCCCCGAAGCCGACUUCAAAUAAGCUAAAAUUUGCAUAACAGCUGUCAUAUGAUCCACACUCAGUGAGUGCAUAAACUGACUCACCACACACUGCAUAGGCUAUAUCCGAAUGGGUAUGAGCUAAAUAAAUUAGUCUUCCUACCAUCCUUUGAUAUCUGUCUUUAUCUACUGGUUCUUGAUCCAGAUAAAUUCCCAAGUAAUGUUUCUCUACAAUGGGAGUAUCCACGAGGUUUACACCGAAGCAUACUUGUUUCCUUCAAUAAAUCUAGAACAUAUUUUUGUUGAAACAAGAAAAUACCUUUGGAUGAACGAGCAACUUCAACUCCAAGAAAAAACUUCAAUCACCUAAACUCUUCAUCUCAAACUCGACAUAAAGGUUCUUCUCCAAUUAGACAAUCUCAUCUGAAUCAUCACCUAUUAUUAUCUUAUCAUCUACAUAAAUAAUCAAGGUUGUUAUUUUACCGUUGCUCCGCUUCACAAAUAAAGUAUGAUGAGAAUUACUCUGAUAAUACCCAUUCUUUCUCAUGGCCUGAGUGAACCUCCCAAACCAUGCACGAGGUGAUUGCUUAAGCCCAUAAAGUGACUUCCGCAAUAGGCAUGAAGAAAUGCAUUUUUUACAACAAACUAUUUCAGUGGCCAAUUCAAAUUUGCAGCUAAUGAGAUAAGGACUCGUACCAUGUUCAUCUUAGCCAUCAAAGAGAAAGUUUCUUGAUAAUUAAUCUCGUACGUUUGAGUAUACCCUUUCACCACCAAUCUUCCUUUAUACAUGUCGCGUGAUCAAUCAGCCUUGUAUUUAACUGUAAAAACCCAUCGGCACCCAACUGGUUUUUUUCCUUUCUGCAGCUCAACUACUUCCCAUGUAUUAUUUUUCUGCAAUGCCCUCAUCUUUUCAUCCAUUGCUUUGGUCCAUUCUCGACUUUUCAAAGCAUCUUCUAAUCAAGUUGGUACUUGAAUUGAAUCCAUAUUAUUCACCCAAGCUUGACGUUCGGAUGAAAUGUUUUUACAUGACACAUAAUUGGCUAUUGGAUACUUCAUUUUUCCUUCCGGAAAGAACCUGUUAGGAGGUACACCACAAUUUUGCCUUGGUGGCAAUUUAUAUGUACUUAUAACAUCAUUAGUUACAUGAGCAUCACUAGUGCUUGCCUCAGAGAUAUCCAGAGAAGACAUAUUGGACAGCGGCACUAUUAAGCUAGGGAGAGAGGCAGCUUCGACAAUAAUCUUGGGGCUGCUUGCUUUGGCAAACUCCAGUCUCUCGACUUCAGCAGCAGCUGGCUGACCAUCAACACACUCCUCUUCGACAAGACAAAUACAUGGAUUGGCAGACUCUUCUUCGGUAAGCAACAGCUGAUCACUUGUAGCAAGUUCGGCAUGAAUAGACCAAACAUCAGCUACAUCACUCGGUACUGCACCGAACAUCAGAAACAUGUUCCAUCAACACCUGGAAUGGAGUACGAAAUUCUACAACCCGGGAUGGCAUGAGAUUUAUAACAUACAUGACAUAGGUGAUGGAGUCUAGCCAAAAACUCUUGGGCACAGAUCCACCAAUAAGUAAAGCAUGAGUAGUUUCCAAAAUAUGAUGGUUUUUUCUCCCAGCUACCCCAUUUUGUUGUGGGGUAUAGGAACACGUUGUCUCAUGGAGAAUUCCUUGAUCACGGAAAAAAAUAAGAUAGCUCAUAGUUAACAUAUUCUCCUUCGUUAUCAGAAUGAAGAACCUUAAUAACAGAAGAAUAUUGAAUAGCCACCAUCUGAGAGAAAGACCAAAUAGUCGUACUUACAUCACUUUUAUGUUUUAACACAUAAACCCAUGUCAUAUGAGUGCAAUCAUCAACAAACGUAACAAACCACUUAACUCCUGAAAUGGUGUUAACGGGCGAAGGCCCCCAAACAUCUGAAUGUAAAAGCUCAAACAGAAUCAAUCUUUUAUUCAUACUAGGAGAAAACGAAGCACGAUGGCUCUUAGCAAGAAUGCAUACUUCACAAUGUAAGUCUAAUUCCUUUAUUUCAUGAAACAUACUAGGCAACAUACGCCUUAAAUAACCAAAAGAAACAUGUCUUAACUGACGAUGUAACAACCAAACUUCUUGUAGAUUACUAGUACGGGAUGCUCGAACUACAUUAGCUCUGCCAGGAACGACGUCAUCCACAUAAUACAACCCCUCUCUCUUAGUGCCACACCCAAUUAUCUUCUUGGUCUAAAUAUCCUAAAGCAAACAAAAAUUGGAUACAUAAGUACAACAUAAUCCAAUUGCUCAGUAACUUGGGGAAUAGAUAAUACAUGGUGAGACAAUGGCGAAACGAGCAAACAGUGGUGUAAAGCAAUAGAUGGCAUGAGGUCCACUGUGUCGGCCCCAAUCGCCACGGCAGCGGUGCCAUUUGUUGUGGCAACACAUUUUUGAUGCAUCGUUGUCAUAUACUUAAAUAACCUUUUAUCAAACCUCAUAUGAUCAGUUAUUCCAGAGUCCAGAAUUUAACAUAUAUGGUGUUCAAUACCAAAGGCUAAAAGAACACACCCAUCAGUACUUGUAUUGGACGAGGACUCACUAUGAUUGGACCAGGGAUCACUACUUCUUUUGGCAUUGAUCUUGUUGGUUGAAUUAGUGAUAGGAGUAUAUUUAUGCGACAUAGUUAGCUUGUUUUCUUGCGUUUUCGUAGUUAGUUUGUGUUUAUUAUAGUGUUUUAAGCUAUUUUCGUGUGUUUGUAGGUCCUAAUAACAAAGUUGGCAAGAAAGUGCAUUUUGGUGCAUUUUUGAGCAGUUUUGGGCACUAAAUGGAUAGAACAAGUAUGGGCCAAGUUGGAUGGACGAAUUUGGAGUUCAAAAGGCUAGGAAUCUGAUAAGGAGAUGAAGAAAUUAAAUUCAAGACAAAAAAGAUAAGGAAUCAGCUCAAAAGAAGGAGAUAUUAUCCAAAACCUUAUCCAAUCUUAUCUUAUCCAAACAAACCUUAUCUUAUCCUAUCCUAUCCUAAUCUUUUCCUAACUUAAUUCCUGCUGCAAGGGGGAGUUAAUUUCUGAUUUAAAUCACCUAGAAAUCUUUCUAGAAGGCCUUAUAUGUUCCUACAUUGGUGUUGCAUGUUUUUAGGCCUUGUUCUUCUAGAAAUCAGCCACAUAACAUUGUUUCUAGAAUUCCCUACAAAAGUGGCGCCCCAAACCCUUCUAGAAACCCUAAAAUCUGCACAAACCCUAGUUCUUUUUCCCCUUGGAUUAAGGCCCAAGCCUUGGCUGAAAAUUCUAAGCCUUUUCCCAUCAGAAUUUUUGAAAACCCUAGCCUAUAAAUAGAUGUUUUCAACCACAAAUUCGGACACCACCCUCUACCAUCAGAUCACUACACCAUCCACCUUUUACCACAAAUUCGUCCUUAACAUCCAUCACCCCCAAAACCACCCUCUACCAUAAUUCACUACAUCAUUCACCAAACAUCCCUCUUGUGCCGUGAGUAUUGCAAGGAAGGAAGGAGAAUGAGCUACCUAGGAGCCGUGCCUAUACCUAAGACGUUGGAUUGUUGGAACGUUUCUAGGUGUUUUCUAUCUUUGAUUUCAAUGUUUAAUUUAAGUUAUCUUUGUUUAUUUGCGAACAUGAGGAACUAAACCCCUAUUAGCUAGGGGGAAUUUCGAAACCAUGGCUAUACUUGCAAUAUGAUUUGAUUACAUCCAGUAAUGAUUUCAUGAAUUGUGAAUUCAAUUUACUUAUCUAUUUGAAUUAAAACUUGUUUAUGUAUGUGGGUUGAGAGUGCACACUUAAUUUGCAUGCAUAAAUAUGAUGCUAGGAUAUAAGGGAGUUUCACCUAAUCGUCAUGAAUUUAUAUUCAUUAGUAGUGAAGGUUGCUUGUCACAAUCGCGUUAAUUGAAUUCUUAGCAAACGUAUCAUGCAUUCAUAGUUACAAUUGCCUCGUCAACACUUAUGAUUUUCAUGAAACGUAAUAAUCUCUGAUUGUAUCUUUAUUAUGCAUUCAUGUAGGGGACUUUUGGAGAAUGAUUUGGGUUGUUGCAUGCAUUCAUCCAAUCCAAUGAGUAAAGGAAAAGCUGAGGGUUAAUUUGUGCAUCACGGCUAAUCUGGGGUGUUGAGCAUCAUAAUCUAUUGAAAAGCAAUUGGAAAUCAAUUCAUGUACAAGUGUGUCAUGUGUGAAGAACGGACCUCUAACUAAUCCAUCCAUCAUCUUAUUUAUCAAUUUCGUUUUACAAUCUGCCUAGUUUUAUAACUUGUUUGUUUGUUUCAAAUUCGUCCAAAUCAAAACCCCCCUUUUAUUUUCUUGUUUCAAAGUGUUUCAAAUCUGUUUUGUUUGUGUUUUUGAGUGUUUUGGUUCAACCCAAAACACUAAAAUCGUCCAAAGUUGUGUUAGAGUCAGAAACUGCCCAGUUUGUGUUUUUAGGCAGUUUUAAGUGUUUUUAAGUUGUUUUGAGUCUUUUGAACCUGUUUUGAGUCCCUUGAGUCUAUUCAAACAUUUUUAACUUUGUUUUUAUGUUUUGAGUCAAUUUAGAGGUUUAGAACGAUCCCUACUUGCAUUUAUACUACGAUUUGACAAUAAGAGGGUUUAAUUUGAGUGCUUAACUUUUAUCACAUCAAUUAGUGGUAUUGCCCUUAAAAAAAUCUAUGAAUUAGUUCAUUUGGGUUAACAUUUGACAACACACCAUCUUUUACAAGUCUCAUCAUUCUAUCUCCUCGUAUAUGCCCUAGUCUUCUAUGCCAAGGCAUGGAAGAUAUAUAUAUCAUGAGUGAGCAUUCGAUUUGAAGCAGAAUGCACAACACUGAGACAUUCUCGAUAGUAUGUGCAUUCAAUUUGCCAAAGAUCACCGUAUGGAAAUGCAUAGCCAAUAGAAUUGUUAAAUUGAUCCUUAAGAUAAAAUUUUGUUUGAUUGCCAUCUCCAUUGUAAGAGAAGCCAUCUUUAAUAAAUUGAGUCAUAGAAAACAGAAUCCUUCUUCUUGAAGGUACAUAAAGAACAUUGUUCAAAGUCAAAAUGUAACUAGAUGACAAUCUUAAUUUAACAAGAUCAACUGCUUCAACUAGAACUUUAUUUCCAUUUCCAACAUAAACACUCUAGGGCUUCUUACUUGUCUCCUUCUGACUUUGAAAUCCAUGCAAAGAGUUUGUUAUAUGAAUCAAACAACCAAUAUUAAACCACUGUGAGUUGUAUAAAAACCAUGUUUGAUUCAACAAUUACAAAAGCGUUAAGGACCUUGUUAUCUUUCUUGAUUAACCAUGCUUUAAAACCAGGACAUCCCUUUCUCAAGUGAUCAGUGGACUGACAAUGGAAACAUCUUUUGAAAUUAGCUUUGUGUACUUUCAGACCAGUGGAUGUGGAAGCACCACCAGUUUUGGGAGACACAGUAGAGGUCCUGAAUUGUUUAUUGAAACCAAGUGCAGAACCUGUUGAAUUUCGAAACCCCGAUUGUUUCUUGCCUUUGUAGUUCUCAUUUCUGUUCCCAACAACGACUUUUCCCUUGCCCUUGCUGGUAUUGACAUGAUUUGCCAAUUCCAACGUCUCAGCUUUUGAUUUCUUCACUUUCUCCUCUUCUUGACAGCAAAUUGCAAUAAGUUCAUUAUACUCAAUGUUUCCUUUUGAUUAUUAUAGUUCAUCUUAAUAUGAUCAUAUUUUCCAGAUAUGGAAUAUAGAGCCAUGUGAACAAGAAAUUGAUCAGUGAAGUGGCAUCCCUUUCAAUUUGUUAUGCCACGCUACUGUGUUUGGUUUUAUUUUGUUUGUCCUUGUUUUUGAUGGUUCAUGACAAAGAGUUCUGUUUUAUCCGAGGGUGGAACAGCAUCGGAUAUUAAAGUUUUCGGUGAAUUUGAAAAAAAGCAAUGCUACAACAAAGUUAAGAGAAUAAGCAACAACGAAUCUCUCUUCUUUUAUUUAUUAUUUCAAACUAAAAACCCUUUAAUAUAAAGAAGAGUGAGAUUACAUUAACUAAUUACAUGCAUUCCAAGAUCUUCUCCUUAACAAAACAACCAAGUCAAACUGUAGGGAAGUACUCUUGAUAAAAAUAACAAAUAACAUAAAUAUAGGGAAGUAGUCAAAUUUGAACAGAAGUGCCCAUGGUCUGAUUGGGACAUAUGUAACGACCCAUCCCUAAAUAUUUUGAUUUUUAUAAUUUUUAAGUCGCGUGAAUUUACGAAAAUACCCUUCGAGGUAAAAACGUUGACUUUUGUUGAUCACCUUGUCGUAUCACGUAAGAUCUAUUUCCUUGGCGUAUUCUUAUAGUACUCAUCGCUACAAAGGUGUGGGCGCAAGAGGAAUCGAAUUCAAAGUUACGAUGAAUGUUUUACAGAAUCACGAACAUGUAGGGCAAUUUAGUAAUUUUACAUAGGAAGAUAUUUUGUGUGUGUGUUAUUUUGUGAGCCGUGGGGUCCACAUUGUCACAUCCCUGCCCGGGCCCCCACCACAUCCCGGGCUCGACUCCACCGUAGCACGAUAUUGUCCGCUUUGAGCCCCGACCACGCCCUCACAGUUUUGUUUCUAGGAACUCACACAAGAACUUCCCAGUGGGUCAUCCAUCAUGGGAUUGCUCUCGUGCGAACUUGCUUAACUUCGGAGUUCUGAUGGAACCCGAAGCCAGUGAGCUCCCAAAAGGCCUCGUGCUAGGUAGAGAUGGGAAUAUACAUAUAAGGCUUACAGGAUCCACUCCCCUAGGCGAUAUGGGAUGUUACACAUAUCCCAAUUCUCCUUCUUCCCCGUGUCAUCCCCCUCCCCCCAUCUCUGGAACUCUCUCUUUCUCUCUUUCCCUCUCUUUCUCUUCUUUCGUCCCCGAGUGAACACUCUCGAACUCUCUCCCUCCUUGUCUCCCUCCUCUCAUCUCUACACUUUUUCCUGCCCGAGUCACCCUACCCCGGUGAGACUGUGAUACUCUAACCCCAUUAUCACUAGUCAUUCAUGGGACAUGAAACGAUGAGACAAGCCCUGAGCUCGCUGGUCUUUUUUCCCUAUACGGUGAGUCACUAUUCAUCAUCUCCAACAACCUCUCACUGAUGUCGACAUAGGUAAGCUUCGAAAAAAAUUCUAAACCUUCUACUCUCAUCCUUAUGAUUCGUUUUUUUAUCAUGUUUGGGUGUUUUGAACGACGGUAUUGCAUAGAAAUGGUGAGAGGAAAGUUCCCUAGAUUUCCACCCAUCCUUUGCAAGCAUUUUCCAUACGAUCCAAACCUCGGCGCAACCUCAAUUUGGUAUGCCCUUGUUCCUAAUCUCCUAAGAUUCAAUUUGACUUUUAUUUCAUGAAAAAUAGUUAUGAAUCGAGCUCGAAUGGAGCUUAGGAAGUUUCCCUGCCAAAAUCUCAGGUCUGGCUUUCUUCUUUAUUGGGUCCAGCAACCCACGAACCUAACCGGGUCGACCCAGCCCACAAUCCAAAAUCGACCCAAACCCAAUCCAAUAACCCUACCCAAAUUCAUAACCCAUUAACCCUAACCCAAGCCUAAACCAAAAAUUGGCCGAACCUAACAGAUUCGACCCAAAUCCAAUCCAAUAACUCAGACCCAAGCCCAAUUCCACGAUCAGCGCGUGGGCCGCACGUGGGUGUGCAUCAUGGUCAGCACGUGGAGCACAUGCGCCUCUACCGGAGGCACUGUGCUCUGCCGCCGUCCACGGCAACGACCACGAAGGCACUGGCGAAUUUUUUGGCGACCUAAGUCGACGCGUAGGGGAACCCGAGUUCCUUUCUUAGGUUUUUCGACGUGUCGAAUCCGAAUCUGGUGCCCGUUUUCCCAAAUUCAGCAAUUUCAGUAAAGUUUUACUAAAUGAUCCCUAUUUGUGUUUAGGUACGUCGAUGGGAAGUGGCACCAUCCUCGCUAGUUCAAAGGGCUCCCGGGCAACAAAAUAUAUGUGAAUGGACCCCUUCUUAACUUGCAUGUUAUGAUAAAAUAUUAGGCUUGCAUUCAUGAAAAGCAUGAUUUCAUGAUUUUAUGUUUUAUGCAUUAUUUACGAUUUAUCGAAAUUACGUUUUACGAAAAGGUAUGAAUUAUUGGACUUUCGCAUAUGAAAUUCUAUGGAUUUACGAAUAUGAAUUAUCAUGGAUUUAUGAGAUGUGGAUUUGAGCCUUUAAGCCCCAGAUUGAUAUGAAAUUUUUGAGAUAUGUUUUCGGUGCUUAUCUAAUGGGUUGUCAUACAGCAGAUACACACAACCGGGUAUGUAGACGUCUAUGGCCAUAGGAUACAGUUGAGGAUAUUUGUGACAUUCCCCCAGCUUCACUAGCCCAGGGCUUGUGUCGGUGUGAAAUGUUACAUGUAUAUGUUUCUUCUUUGGCGUAACUCAGAGUCGUACAGCUUCACCUUCGGGUGAUGAACCAUGAUUUCUUCACUGGCACAACCCAGUGUCAUACAGCUUCACCUUUGGUGAUGGUUAUGCCUUUGGGCCACUAUGAUAUCCCUAGUGAGUACAUCAUUGAUGAGGGUUUACAGAUUUGCCUUUGGGUGACUAUUUCCGGUACUGAGCAUUGUUUUACACAUACAUGUUUUAUGAAUGUUUUUCAUGGCAUGUUAGAGUUUUCCGAAAAUCUAUUAUGUAGUACUAUAUAUGUGUUUUCAAAACUGAGGGUUAGUAUGUUCAUAAAGAGAAUGGUUUUCUUAUUAUUAGUUCUAUUAUCAUAAAUUUUGAUCCACUCACUCUUUUCGUUUUGCUCCCCCUUCAGGAUUUAGAUCUGAAGCACACGAUUCCGGCAUCAGGGCACUUCGGCUUAGGUAUCUUUGAAUCUUCUCAGUGCAUGUCUUAUUCCUUUGUUCGUACCCUUUUAUACUAAUUCCUUCACAUUUUUCUUAAUUAGUUGUAUGCUCUGAACAUGUGUCCGCAUUGGUAUAUUCCUUUCUAAUCACAUAUUUUAUUUGCAUGCAUGUUUAAAAUAUUCGUCACCCUCUGGUGUCAACCAACACGUGCCUAUCCUGAUAUUUGGGGAUAUCGGGAUUGGGGCGUGUCAACAUAUCUCUUUAUCCAUUUGAAAAUUUUUCAUAUUAAUAAACAUCACAAUUAUUGUCCAAAAAUCCCAAACUUUUAAACUGGAAAAGAAUGACAUGAUCGUAAAGUUUUGCAAAUUCACUUGUUACACUUUAAUAAAGUUAAUAGUAGAUGAAUGCUUCAUGCUUGUUACUGAAAAUGUAAAAUAUAUACAUAACUAAUAGAAACUCCUAUAUGUCAGGAGACCUAUGACCAAAUAGUGAUUUACAAUACAUAAUCGUAAAUUGCUACCAAAAUGAGACUUGUCCUGAAUACUUAGACAUGAAUUUUUUAUUGUUAAAGUCACGUUAUCAUGGUUUCACCAUUUCACAUGUAAUAGUGUAACUGCACGGUAUACUCUUGUCAUAAAUCUAUUUAAAGAACCUCAAUUCAUUAUGAUAUGAUAGACGAAGCAAAAAUUGUUCGAUUACAAAACCUCAAGUAGCUCUGAAGCUUCUCCAGGAAGAAGUAGCUUUUUCCUAGACAAAAUGGAGACUUACUUUGUUCUCUCUACAGAAACAAGUGCCAACACUACGGAUUCUCACGCUGCGAUUUGGAGAGAAGGUUUCUAUCAGAAUCGUAAACAAUUUUCCCUGAAAAUUUCAGCGGACUACAACGUUCUCCCAUCAUGAUCUUUUUCUUCCAAACGGCUUCGUCAUCAUCAGUUUCAUAAUCUUCUACCGCUGCUGCCUCUACUGUCCUCCAAGAAAUCAUCUUCACCAUCGCAACAGCUUUGCUACUGAUCUUUCUAUUUAAUUUGGCCACAAACUUUACGUCUUUUGACUCGGUGUCUAUGAUCACUUCCUCCGUUUCUUUAUCCGAUUUCUUAGUAGAAGCACAAAGGAAGAUCAAGAUGGAAAAUAUGAAGAAAAAUGAGAUGGGGAUCACGAAGAUAAGAUGUGUAGAACAAGAGGCCAUGGGAAAGCUUGGUAAAGGCCUUGCCAUGGUUACAAUAAGGAGGUAGCUAGGAGUGGAAAUUCAAGUUUAAUUAUUAUGAUUUGCAGAAGCUGAGAUAUCUAUCUAGCUAGCUCUUCAAGUACUGUUGUAAGUAUGAGUCAUUCUGUGCUGACGUGGAAUCAUGUUGUUAGUCCAGUGACAAAGUGGCUCCCACCCUGGUUCACCAUGUAGUGCAGGCUGCAUGGACUACUUGACCACUUGACUUAAAGUCGUCUCGAAUGGUUUUCCAACUAUCUUCAAUUUUGUAAUAUGUUUAAUGGAACUGAUGCCUUACUUUGCUUGCUUUGUAUGCGAAGGAAGAAAAGUUUGGAGAGGCUUCUAAGCCAAACAAUACGCUUACCAAAUUAAAAGUUUGAACGCUUGUGGGCACGAUACACUUACCAUACGAGGGUAUUGCAUAUAAUGCUUGUCUUCUUUUAUGGGGACCUUAUUUGUCCUUUCCUUUACAAUUAACGGACUUUUGCCAUUCAAACGAGAAAGCUUUGUGUGGAGCUUACCUUGUCAUUAGACUUCGUUAAGUGGCACUACAAUCCACUCAAAACUCGUCAUGUGACUAGUUUUAAAUAUAAUCUUUUAUCGUUCUUUUAUAUUUAAAAUUUUAAUAAUUAUUUUUUCUAUUAAUAAUAUAUAUUAAUCUAAUGUUUCCUCUCUUUUUUCUUCUUUCCCUCUAUUUUUUCUCUUCCCAAAUUCCCCUCCACUUUGUUUUGCCGUAGGUCUUUAUUUUUUUCGUUCUUUAUAGAACUUGGAAGCAGCCUCUCCAUAAAUGGGGGUAAGGCUAGCCGACAUUCACCUCUCCCAGACCCUGCGUAAAGCGGGAGCCUUGUGCACUGGGUACGACCUUUUUAUAGAACUUGACAUGAAUAACCCACAUAUUAGGGUUUUUUUUAAUUAUAUUUGGUAGAGAUAUACUUUCUUGAAAAUAGAAAGCUACGUACUACAAUCAAAACAAAGUGAAAGAUAACAAAUAGGUUAUGAAAAAAAUUUACUCGAUAAUCUGGAAUAUGCGCUUUUGUAUUGAUAGAGAGGAGAGAAACAGUGGGGGAAUAAGAAAGAUUUGUAUUAGUUUGAGAGGAGAGAAAUAGUGGGGGGGAAAGAAAGCAAAGAAAUUUUGUGAAGAAAAAAAUGCAGAAUUUCAUAAAAAGCAGGAACCACAACUCGGAGAGAGAGAAGCACAAAACAAAGUGGAGGGAAAUUUAGGAAGAAAAAAAAAGAGGGAAAGAAGAAGAAAAAUGAAACAUUAGAUUGAUAUAUAGGCAAAUCUUACUUCUCAAUUGUCACAGUAUGCCAAAAUGACCACAAUGCAAAGUGUCCCUACAUUUGGUGUGUCUUAUAGGCAAGGAUACCAAGCCAAUCGAUAUCCACAAAGCGAUUGGAGUGAUCAUUCAAACUCUAUGUGGUGGGAGCUCAACAAGUUCAACACGAAGCAUAUUGGCAGCCAUAUGAGGAGUUCUAUUCAAGACCUAUGCAGCCACCACAACCUCAUAUACAAUAUGCUCAAUCAAAUCAGGUUCUUCUAUUGAUAAUGAUCAGAUUUUUGAAUUACUAACUUCUAUGGCGCAGGGUAUGCAAACUAGGGACAAGAAGGUGGACGAGUUGGAGAAACAAGUAGGGCAGAUUGCGGAGUUCAUGGGACAAUUUCGAGAGCAAGGCAUGUUGCCUAGUUCAACCGUUGUGAAUCCGAAAGGAGGCUUUGAAUCUGCCAAGGCAAUCAUGCUAAGGAGUGGAAAAGAAGUUGGAACUGAUCCACCACCAUCUAAAUCAGCCUAAAGAAAGGACGAGAAGUUGCAAUUCGAAGAGGAGGAUCAAGCCAAGGCCACGGCAAGGAAGGAAGCACCCUUGCCGCAGCCUCCUACAUCCUCUCAUCCAUCCAAUCCGUCCACCAUAGGUAAGAAAGUUCCAAUUCCAAUUAAUUCUAACGUUAUUCCUCCAAAUGUACCCUUCCCUAGCAGAUUUUUACAAACCAAGAACGAAGAGGAGGAAAAAGAUGUUCUAGAGACGUUUAGAAAGAUGCAUGUCAAUAUCCCACUCCUUGAGGCUAUUAAGCAAAUCUCGAAGUAUGCCAAGUUUUUGAAGAAGCUUCGUACAACAAGGAAACGUAUUCUGGAGAAAGAAAUGGUACAUGUAAGCGAAAAUGUCUCUGCAAUGUUGCAAAGAAAGCUGCCACCUAAAUGCAAAGAUCCGGGUAGUUUCACAAUUCCUUGUGUAAUUGGUAAUACAAGAUUUGAGCAUGCUAUGCUAGAUUUAGGUGCAUCAAUUAAUGUCAUGCCAUAUUCUGUUUAUGUAUCUAUGAAUCUAGGAGAACUAAAAAAUGAUGGUGUGAUUAUUCAAUUAGCCGAUCGAUCUAAUGCAUAUCCAAAAGGAGUGUUGGAAGAUGUUUUGGUGCAGGUAGACCACUUGAUUUUUCCUGUAGAUUUCUAUGUGCUUGAUAUGGAGGAUUCAGCCCACUCUUCACCAUCACCACUUUUACUUGGACGACCUUUCAUGAAGACGGCUCAAACCAAGAUUGAUGUGGCCAAGGGAGCAAUAACUAUGGCAUUUGGUGGUGAUAUGAUUAACUUUAAGAUUUCUGAAUAUGUUGAGAAUACUAAUGAUGUUCGUUCUUGUUGUGCCAUUGAUGUAAUUGAAAAUAUAGGGCAGGAAUGUUCAACAUUAAUCAAGAAAGAUGUUUAUCGUAUCACAAUCGAGGAGGGACUUGGAUUAAAGCACAAGGAGCAUGCCCCAACCUCCAAAUCACCAAAUCUGGCCAAGAGUACUCCUUGUGCAUCUGUUCAAUGUGCUGCCACUUCAUUGCAGCACAUGGGUGAGCCAUCUUCUCCACUUUCAAUUCCCAUUUCGAAUAAUAGGUUGUUACCUUGUUUGGUGCAGGUACCUAGGUGCAUUCAACGUGGUGGGAGAGUUCAUGUUGAUUUAGGGAAGCAAAGCACAAAAAUCAGGAAGGAUCAUUAUCCCUUUCCAUUCAAAGAUCUAAAGCAUGAAGUGGUUCGUAGGACAGGUUGGAAAGGAAGCAUCUCUGCAUGCCGUGGGGUCAAAUAAAGCCUUAAAGGAGUAUCGUCCGGCUGUACGACGUUAAAGCAAGCGCUUCUUGGGAGGCAACCCAGCAUUCAACAAAGGAAGACCUAGGAAUCACUCCAAUUCCAGAUUUGCAUUCCUAAAACCCUUCUUUUUGUUGUUAUUUCGUUUCUGCCAUGUUGAGUUGUUUAGUUGCUGUUUGUUUGUUGGUUUUUUAUUUGUGUUAGUUUAUGCUUGAAACAUUGAGGACAAUGUUUGAUUUAAGUGUGGGGACCAAAGUGUUUUAAUGCAAAUUCGUAAGGUUUUAUCACCCAUAACUUCCAAUGUUGUACCUUGCUGUUUUUAGGUGUUUUUAGGCUGUUUUGGUGUGUUUUAGUAUGUUUUGACAUAAAAAUUCGAAAAUCCCAUAAAAAUAUUUUGAAAAACCCAAAAAGAGUCGUUUUAAAGUUGUUUUACGUUUUUGUGUGUGUCUUAGGGUACCUUCCAACACAAUGAUGAGGAUUCAGUUUUUAAUUGCAUGACUGUUAAAGAGAGUUAUAAACAUGGAUGGAAGUGUGAUUUACUCUUUGGUUUAUGCUUGGUUGUGGUUAUAACUUAUGAAUUCACAUGUAAUCAUAAAGGAAAAAAUUAGUUUUUGUAACAUGCUUGAAGGAAGGAACUCAAACUAACGCUACAACCUUGUGAGACUUGAGCCUAAACGUUUAUUUGGAGAGUUAAUAAUUUGUGCAUUGCUAUUUUCUAAAGUCGUUGCAUGAUCUCAUUAUUCUUUGCUUGGUUACUACUUAGAAGGCGUUUCAUCAUUUAGUUCCAAAUGCUAGAACUCAUGCCCAAUUCAUUCAAAGCAUGCUAUUGAUUUGCAUAACACAUAUUCAAGAUGAAGUUGUGUAGUGACCACCACCAAAGCCAAAUUGCCGUGAACCCUAAUUCAUUUUAUGUUUAAGUUUAACCUCGUUGAGCCUUGUGUAGCCUAUGUUCUUUGAUAACCCACAAUAUCCUCACCUAGCAUAGAUUAGGACCAUCCAAACCUUUGUUCUUGAAGCAUAGUUAAGCAUGACUCAAGAUGAAUUCCUUGUGAUCAUGGUAUUGCAGAAAACAAGUGUGGGGGGAAGGGAUGUGUGUGUGUGCCAAAGACUUUCAUGUGGCACGGGUAGAAAAAGAAUAAAAAAAGAGGAAAAAAUGCGUGGAAAAUAGAAAGAAGAAAAGAAAAGUUGUGAAAAGUAUGGAAAAUAGUGAAAAAGAUGUGAAAACAAGCUCUAAAGUGUGGUUGUUGAAGAAAGGGUCCAAAACGCUUGAAUUUGGCCCUAAGUGUUGCAUGAAUCUUCCCUUCGUGUUUAAAAGUUGAUUUCUGCAUUCUAAAGUGAAUUCUAACUUUCAAUUUCAUUACUUUGCUUGCUAUCGCUUUAAGAACGUUUGUUAUCCCUAUCCUUCCUUUGUUAACCAAUACCCCAAGCCCCGUUACAACCCUUGACUUCUAUUUUGAGUGUUAUGUGUCUCAAUUUGUGGAGUUUGAAUUUGGUAUGAGCAUAUGGUGUCACUGGUUCUCGCAUUUAAGUAGUAGCAUUCCGUUCAUGAGAUCAUAACUAAAUGCUUGUUAACUCCAGAAACUGCUUUCUUUGUUAUACAUAUAUGUGAGCGCUCGUUUUCAUGUCUACAUCAAUCUUCUCACAUAUAACUAGUAUAGGGUGUGUAGUUAGAAAAUCUGAGUGAAAAUUGAGUGCAUAUCGUGUAAGGAAUUGAGCAAAUUCUCUAAGGCAUGUUACUACAUUCAAAACAUUGUUUUAAUUGGUUAAAUGUGAACUAGUAAGUGGUGACUAUGAUUAAGUAUGUGCUUAAGUGUGAAGAUGACUAAAAUCUGUGGGGAUGAUGAUUUUUAAUAUGUUAUGUGCAUUGGAAAUCCCUGAGGCAACGUUGGAAGGUUUAGGUUUUGUUUCUUUGUUUUGUUUCGUUUUGUUGUUCUUUUGUUUAUUUGUUUUGCUCGAGGACUAGCAAAAGCUAAGUGUGGGGGAAUUUGAUAGGAGCAUAUUUAUUCGACUUAGUGAGCUUGUUCUUGUGCAUUUACGUUGUGUUUUCUUAGUUAAAUUAGUCUUUUAAGCUAGUUUUAUGUGUUUUCAAGUUUUAAGGGCAAAGUAUGCAAAAACGAUGCAUUUUGGAGCCUUUUGGAGCAAAAUUGAGCUUGGAAUCGAUAUCACGUGCUUGGAACGAAAGGAAUGGACGAGAAUGAAGGAGUCCUAAUUGAAGAAGGAUUCCUAAUCAACGAAGGGGUCCUAAUUGAAGAAGGAUUCCUAAUCAACGGACGAGUCCUAGUUAAGGAUGGAUUCCUAGUCAAAGAUGGAUUCCUAGAAGAAUGAGGAUUCCUACUCGAACAAGGUUUCCUACUUGAAGUAGGAAAGUUAAGCCUAAAGUUUCCUAUUUUGGGUUGAUCUUUCCUAAACCUAGAUGGCCUUAAGUUUCAGCAACAUUGGUGGUUUCCUAAGUGUUUUUGGACAUAAAGAAAGGUUCUAGAACACUUCCUUAUCCUUGUCGUGGGUUAUGUCAUAUUUCCCCUUGGUUUUGGGCUUCUAAAAGUCCUAUCCUUUUCCCCCCAUACCUGCUGCACCUAUUGGACUUUUCCUCUUAGAAUUCUGAUUGUAAAGCCCUUUUCCUGAUGGAUUUGGGUUCUCCAAGUCCACAUCUAAUUACCCUAGGGUUUAAGGUGCCUAUAUAUACUCAUAUUUCAACCUUGGCCGAAUUACCACCUCUCAUAUACAUUAAUUCACACCAAAAACCAUCCCUUGCUCUCUGCCGCAGCCUUCCACCACCAAUCUCCACAAUUCCUGACCAAAACCACCCCUUGCCGCACCACCCAUCCAUCCUAAACACCACCAUUGAUGGAGAAUUUGUGAAAACAUGUUCAUUUGAAUAACAUCAUAUAGCAUGCAAUUAACAAUUAAAGGCGGAAUCAUGCUUGCAUGCACUCAAAAACAAAACAUUACCCAUGAAAUUCAAAGCCUAGUAGAUUGGUGAACCCAGACUCAACUCAAAUCAAAGUGAGUUGAGAAAUUAUACCUUUGUAGAUUCCUCUUUGCAUAAGCAAAGGCUAAUCACCCAAAGAGAGGGCCUUCAUUCCUUGCUUCUUAGAUCCAUGGAUUUGGAUGGAAGAAUAGGUUUCUCCAAGUUCCCAAAGUAGAGAACCUCAAAGUCUCCACACCAAGGUUAGAUUUAAGUAGAAAUGAGUGACCUAGAGGAAGCAAGAUUGCUAGCUAAAUUCCUCUAGGGUGGCCGGCCUCUUUAGAGAGAAAGGAGAGCUUUGUUUUCUCAUCCUUUCCCAAAAAGAAACCCUAAAUGAAUUUUGGCUAUAAAGUCAUAUUUAUACCUUAAUUCAUUGGAGUGGCAAACUUGUAAAUAAGUCCAAAACCCACUCCAUCUCUAAAUGGCCGGCCAUAGGGAUUCUUUAGGCUAUUUGGGCCUUUGUGAAUCAUUAUUCAUUAAGUUGUCAUACAACUUAAGUCAAUGGACUUGACGUUCGAAGCCCAUUGGGCCUUAAGGUCCAAAACUAUCCCGAGGUCUUUAACGAACUUAUUCGUUUGAUUAAUUAACAUAUUAAUUAAUCCUUGCCAUAAAUAAUUAAACCAUUUAAUUAUUCUUACUCAUCUCCGAUGUUUCUUCAAUCUCUACCUUACUCGGUGUACGAUCCAUUAGGUUCCUUUUAGCGAGGCAGUGGGCGAUUAAAACUCUUUCAAAUCGAUUGUGAAUUGAAACUUACUUUCAAUUCUCCCUUUAGUGUUUAUACACGUUUAGGGCUUCCACAAACCAUGAGUGACACCUAGCAGCAUAUCAUGGUUACCCAAGCUAAUCAGAAGAGGUGGAGAACCUAUUCAGUUUAGGAUUACAAUGCAAUACGGUCUUUCUCUAAUACAAUACUCUUGACCACAUUGUUUGGUUUGAUAGUUUAUUCAUGUCUACUAUCCAAUGUGAUUCAUUUACUUAUAUGAUUACCUUAAAUGUGAUUUGGAACGCCUUCCUAAAUCUCAUUCAUACUUUGGCCAAAGAUUCUUAAUCAUAUCAUAGAGUAUUCUCCCUCAAACGGUUUGAAGGUUAGAGAUCGCUUGUUGCGCAUUCACUUGCCUUCAUGGCUAAGUGGCUUAACCCCAACGAUGUCGUGGACACCCGCAGAUAGGGUGACUUUGACAUAAUCAAAGAUCAAGGACCUAACCACAAGACAACUAUGAUGCCUCAGGUCAAAUGACUACUUUGCAUUAUCCCAACUAUGAGUUCUCAUGUGACAUGAGUAUGAGAACUCUUCGUUGAUCGUGUUCUGUGAACUCAUUCUCUAUUGAGCACCUACGUACUUGUCUUGGUGUCAAACACACCAAUGACUCGAGACUAGUCAAACACAUAUUCCUUGGACUUAUCGUUUAAGCAUAUAACAUUUAUAUGAGAUGGCUCAAACAAUAAUCUUUGCCCUUUAUAUUUAAACUACAUUAGUUUAAUAUGUGAAAUGUCCGUAAAGUAUCAUCAUAUAAUUGGUUUUAGGGCACAUUUCUAACAAUCUCCCACUUGCAUUAGAGCCAAUCAGCGAGGUCAUCAGUGAUGAUACCCCUUCUGUAGUCAUUUCAUAAAUGGCUGAGUAGUAGGCCUAGACAAUGGAUAUCUAUAUGUUAUCCAUAGAAGCAACCUUGAGAAUAACGACGUCACCAUUAUACAUGAUUCUUAAUCAUGUGGUUCAGUCUCUCAUUUGAGUUCGGACCUUGAUGAGACCUUGAUUCCCUGGCUUGAGCUAUCGCCCCAUUAGUGUCAUACACUUUCUGGUUGGAACCGAAUAGAGAGUUCAUAAAUGAACUUUCCCAUCCAAACAACAUUGUUGUAAACUUCUAUAUGGCGAUAUAUUUUGCAUUCAUAAUGGAACACACUAAAGUCAUUACUUUAAUGUUUCCAUCCAAAUAUCUCUUUAGUCAUAAUAAAGAGAUAUCUGUUUAUCUCUUCAUUCAUAAUGAAGAAACUUCCAAUGAUGGAUUAGAUUCACAAUCUAAUACAUUUACGCUUCCAUUACGUUACUCUAAUUCUUCCUCAUUCUUUGAGGAAUCUAUCCUUUAGUAUUUCUUAAAUACCUAAGGAUUCACUUGACAGUUGCCAUGGUUCUGAUCCUGGGCUUGCACUGAUAUCGUCUUGUACCGUUCUUGGUACAACUCAUAUCAAUGUUUUCAUACAAUAUGAAAUACAUAAAUCACCUUUCUGCUUAUGCAUAAAGGAUUCUAUUUACGCAUUAUUUCUUUGGGAGUCAAAGAGUACGUUCUCUUUGAGAAGAGCAACUUCUUAGUCUUACUAGAAUUGUCCAUUUGAUUGAAGUUUAUCAUCAAAUGAGAAACUUCCUAGCAUCUCUUGUCUAUUAUUAGGGAUUGAUAUAAUCCAAUUAUAUCCUAAAAUCUAUCAAUAUAGAUUUUCAUCCCAUGUAUAUAGACUAUGUCUCCCAUAUACAUUCUAUCUUCAUAUAAUGUUUUAAAGUCAUAACUUUAACGAAGAAGUAUUCUUUUCAUUUCCAAAAUUAAUAUAUCAUAUAUAUUUAAAUUUUAGGAACAUGAUUAACUCCCACUAAUCUUUUGUAAACCUAGUAAACAAAAUAUUCAUUUACAUCUUUAUGAGAAAUCAAACGAUUUGAUCCUUUUCUCAUAAGAUGCUUAUAGCUCCCACUAGCUUGCUAAGAUUCAUGAUGGAUGGAUCUCUACAACUUACAUGUCUUGUGAUUUAUAGUUUUAGACAUAUAUUAUCAAGACUAUCUUAAUAAUGGUUUUAGAAACCCAUAUUAUGUCCAAACAUUGAAUCACCAUUUAGUUGUAUCUAGCAAUCUUCGAAUUAAUUGAAACCAAGACUAUCUCAAAGAUGGUUUCUUCAAAGUCAACCAUUAUCUUUGAUUGUAGUCACCUUAAGCUACCAAUUAGCUUAUGAAGGUUUCAUUAUUUCGGGUCAAAUGGUACUUUACCAUUUCCUUGAGUAUAUAUCGUAUAUACAUUCAAUGUAGUCAUAAGGAUUUUCAUUCUUAUUUCUUUCGAAUUAAGAGGUGCAACUCUAUGACAUAGUCAUAAAGUUCAAACCAUUCAACUGAGACGGUUUAUAAAUCCUUCUUGACUACCUUGGAGCUUUUGGUAUAGGAACUAGGUUGUUAUAUUUGUUGAUUAUUAUCUUGUCUCUCAAAGUUCUAUCUCUCAUUCAUUUGCACUUAGGCAAAUCAUAUUGUAAGAUUACAAUGAACUACCCAACAAAACAACAUUUGUUAGUUGGUUUAUAGAAGCGAUAUCCAAAAGUUAAUUUAAGGAUAUCCCACAAGAUUGUUAUCAAACAAAUAUUGCUUAUUAGCUCACAACCCCAAAUCUUAACAUGCUUGAGAUUUUCUUUCUUUCCAACUACAUCUUAUGGAGUCAUGAAAAUUUUGGAAAGAUCUUCUAAUUUACAAUCAUAUUGUUUUAGAAGUAUAUAUCCUAUAUAUGGGUAAUAGAUAACAUCCAACGAACUAAAUCUUAUUCAAGUUCGUUCUUCUCCUAAUGGAGAAAUACAUUAUCUUAUUAUGCUAUUUUCCUUGAUAUCUUUCAAGGAAACUCAUCUAAAGUGUUACCUUUCCUUUGGAUCAAAUCUAAGGAGGUAAAUAUUUUAGACGUCUUACUCAUCAACUUACAUUUCUUGAAUUCUUUGAAACCUUUUGCAAAGUAUUCGGACUUGUGUUUAUUCAAAAUAAACUAUAGUCCAACCGAGAGUGAUCUUCGGUGAAUGUCAUAUAACAUGAGUAGUAUUAUGUUGUGGACAAGUGCCACUAACAUCUAAGUGAAUUAACCUCAACAACUUUGUGAUUCUUUCUUCUUUCCAAAAUAAUAAAGAUUCGAACAUUUCGUCUCUAUACAAUUUUAACAAGAAGGUAUUGGAUCCGGAUCUAACGAUCCAAAGCAUCCAUCUUUCACCAACUCGUAACUUAUGUUUUUAGAGGUAUCACAACUUAGUUGGGAUUAGUCACUACCUUGCAACCUUUUGGGUUUUAAGCAUCAUUAUAUUCUAAACAGUUAACAAUACCAUAUCAUCUCUACUAUAGAGACAAUCAAUUAGAUUACUAUAAUCCAAUCAUUGAUUAAUAAAGAACAAUGUUUUGUCAAACAAAACAUUCAUCCAUCUUUACUAUAGUGACGGAAUUAAGUUCCUUAAAAUUGGAAUGUAAAGACAAUCUUUGGUUUUUCCAAUUUCUUUGGUAGUUCAUAUGAGGAAGUAAGUACUAUCUGCUUUCGCAGAGAUCUAUAUUUUAUUCACGUUCCGAAUGUGAAGCACCUUUUCUUCUCUCAUAUAUCUUCUACUUCUUAUUAGUCACACUUUUACAACGAUUGUAAAACAUAGUUGCUAAUACGGAAUCCAGCAUUCAAGUAGAAGAACUAACUGUUUUGAACUAUUCAAGAACAAUUUACAACACCUUCGAAAGGUGUGUUCUUGACACUUGCAAGACAUUUCUUGCAAAUACCCCUUCCAAUGUCCAUCCUUUCAUAAAAAAAGUUUGUUGCCUUGGAGUUUAUUUUAUCUUCUUCAUUUGACUUCUCCUUUGACUACAAUAGUCAUGGUCCCUAAACUCCCACUAUCUCUCUGAAACUUAUUUCAAUUGUGUUAUAUACACAUCAAACAUUUUGGAAAGCAUGUGUUUAUUGUUCACUACAUAGUUUACAAUAAACUUAGUGAACCAUUAGGAUAGGGACAUAAAGGUGAAGUCUUAGCCUAGUUUCCGUCUCGUUAAGUGGUUUAUCACUUCAACACUCAAUGAUUCAAAAUCAUCAUAAGUCCAUGUUGAUGGACUAUUUUUGUCAAACAACCAUUAUGUUCUAAACAUAAUUACAAACUUUCAAGAGUUGUUCAAGGCAACUCUCAUUUCUUCAUACAACAAUUUGUAAGUGAAGAAUCAUGGCACAUAAAGUGUCCAUGCCCUUGUGCUUACUUCUAAAGUUCCUUGUUCAUGUAACAAAAAAACAAGCACUAAUGUUUGCAUUUAACUAAGAGUUGUUCAAAGCAACUCUUAUUUCUGCAUACAACAAUUUGUAAUUGAAGAAUUAUGACAUUAAAAGUGUUGUCCUCUUUAUGAUAGACUUUUUCUAACAUAUUCUUCUAAUGAUACAUUAUCAAUAGGAAGAUUGUGAGGAUGAGACUACUUAGGUACAUUUACAAGCCAUUAAAGACAAUCUAUGGUUUUGUAGUACCAAGUCCGGAAACUAAAGCUUUCGGCUUUUAUUUGUCAAGUGUUAGAUAGCGUUUGCAAAUAUAUUGGUAAAUAAAUACAUAACGAAUAUAAAUCGAUUGAUUUUAAGCCAUUUGAUCCGGGUCUUUAAAUCAAAUAGCACCACCCACUAUUUUUGGCAAAUUCCAUAUCCCUCAUUGGAAUUCGAGAGUUUUAGAGGAAACUCUUAGUAGGGUAUGGGAGACUCACUACUACUAAGCCCACCUCACAAUGAUAUGAUGUUGGCUAGCAUUAAUAAUAAUGAGAGAGUACGCUUACUCAUUUGCAUCUCUUGCAAGUACCCAUCUUAUUUGGCCUCUAGAGAAUGUCACCUCACAAUGAUAUGAUGUUGGCUCCAUUGCACUUAGUUAAGUCAUUCCCACCAUGUAAGUUCGGGUAGGGGUUCAAGAACAACCUCACAAUGAUAUGAUGUUGAUCAUUCUCGUUGCCUACGUCUCACAUCAUCAAGUAUGCAUAUAGACUCCUCCUGAGUGUAAGCACGCACUUUGUACUCCCCCAUGAUAGGGUGAAGCCGGUGUACGAGUCACAAACGAUCGGAGCCUACCACGGUGGAAGGCCACAAAAGAGUGUUCAAAGCACUCUCACGCUUAUCAACUUAAUAAUGGUUUGGUUGAGGGUUUUUAGGUCUCAUCACAUAUAAAUAUUCAUUUUAAUCUUUAUUAAAACAAUUUUGGUCCUAUUACAACUAUUGGUCCAUUUGAUUGAAUUUAGUUGUAUAUAAUACUCCCACUAUGCUUAUAAAACGGUUUUUAAAGCAAGAGUACAUGAUACUACUAACAUAAACUUUGCAUUCAUUUGAUGAACUAUAUAGUUGCCUUAGGGCCUUAGGAUGACUAUGAACCUUUGUUUAGAUUCAACACGAGCCUAGUGUUGAAUCUAGGUCUAGGGAUGGUGAUUGAUUUUAGUUACGCGUUUAAUCACAUUAAGGCGUGUUGUCUUAGGGGCGUGGGACCCAACUACUUCAAUUUCAUGCAUAUCAAAUAAAGCAAGAAAGAAGUACUUCAAAGUAAAGAUGAGCUUAUGCUCUUUACAACAUUUGAAUGAUUCAAAUUACUUUAAAGUAAAGAAGAGCUUAAGCUCUUUUACAACAUUUGAUCAAAUCAAAUUACAACCAAAAUCUAAUCUACAAAUUCCCAUGGUUCAAACAAAUUUGAAACGGCCUUUCACAUAGCUCAAUUAUAUUAGGCUUAGGUUCAUAAUAACCCUUUAAUUAAUUAACGCUUUAACUAAUUAAAUUGAAUGCAACAUUUUCAUUUGGUUUUUGUAUCCAUAAAAUUGAUUUAAAUGGAGCUAAAUGAAAUGAAAAUCCAAUUCUCAUUUAAAGAGACAAAACAAUUUUGUUCUCAACCUAAUUUGGGCCAAAAUGCAAUUACCACAACUUUUUGGGCUAUAUUGCAAAAACACAAACUUUUGGGGUCACUUUGUAAAAACACAAAAGUCCACUACUUCAUGUAAUUACAACUAGAACCCAAAAAUUCAACAAAUAUAAAAACUUCAUUAAAGGAGCAAAACAAUUUGUCCUUUAGCGUUUUUAGGCCUUAACGUCAAAACGUAAACUUUCGGGUCAAAAUACAAAUACACCAAAGUAUCAAAACUUUAUGUAAUUGCAUAAAAGCCCCAAAAAUACCCUAUUUUAAUAGGGUGGCCGGUUUUAGGGAGAAAAAAGAGAAGAGAUAAGUCCACAAAAAUUUGGAAAUUUUUCAACAAUGUCAUAAAGCCUUGCAAGUGGAAUUUGGUUGGUGUGAAUCAUAAAACCAUGCAAGUGGUGUGUAAGAAGUACUUCUUACACACCCAUCACCAUUUCUAUCACCUUUCAAAAUAAAUGUUUUGUUGAUAGAAGAUUCACAUCAACCAACACAAAACAAAGACUUUAUGAAAUCAACCAAAACUUUGAAUCAAAACACCAAACCUUUUUUGUUCUUGGCAAAAAUGUCAAGAACAAUGAAGAACACUCAUGAAAAACUCAAAAAAUUUCCAUGAACAUUUUUCACCCAAAAACAUCCCAAAACCAUUCAAACUUAAGGGAAAUAACAUAUAACCAAACUAGGGUACAUAGGGGUUCCCAAAGUUACUUGAAAACACUUUUAACAAGUCAAACAAGAACCCAAAAAUCCACCCUUUGGAUUUGGCCGAAAAUUCCCAAAAACAUGGCACCAAAUUUUAGCUCCAAUAUUCAUGCUCAUAUGAACUACAUCUACAACAUUUGAGAUGGCAAAUUUUCUAACAAAAUUUACAUUCAAAGAAACAAGAAUAAAGCUUGUAACAUAUUACAACUUUUAAAUCAAAUACUAUGAAGAACAAAACCCAAAAGGAUUCACCAACUACUAGACCUAGGCUCUGAUACCACUUGAAGGAGAAUUUUGUGAAAACAUGUUCAUUUGAAUAACAUCAUAUAGCAUGCAAUUAACAAUUAAAGAUGGAAUCAUGCUUGCAUGUACUCAAAAACAAAACAUUACCCAUGAAAUUCAAAGCCUAGUAGAUUGGUGAACCAAGACUCAACUCAAAUCAAAGUGAGUUGAGAAAUUAUACCUUUGUAGAUUCCUCUUUGCAUAAGCAAAGGCUAAUCACCCAAAGAGAGGGCCUUCAUUCCUUGCUUCUUAGAUCCAUGGAUUUGGAUGGAAGAAUAGGUUUCUCCAAGUUCCCAAAGUAGAGAACCUCUAAGUCUCCACACCAAGGUUAGAUUUAAGUAGAAAUGAGUGACCUAGAGGAAGCAAGAUUUCUAGCUAAAUUCCUCUAGGGUGGCCGGCCUCUUUAGAGAGAAAUGAGAGCUUUGUUUUCUCAUCCUUUCCCAAAAAGAAACCCUAAAUGAAUUUUGGCUAUAAAGUCAUAUUUAUACCUUAAUUCAUUGGAGUGGCAAACUUGUAAAUAAGUCCAAAACCCACUCCAUCUCUAAUGGCCGGCCAUAAGGAUUCUUUGGGUUAUUUGGGCCUUUGUGAAUCAUUAUUCAUUAAGUUGUCAUACAACUUAAGUCAAUGGACUUGACGUUCGAAGCCCAUUGGGCCUUAAGGUCCAAAACUAUCCCGAGGUCUUUAACGAACUUAUUCGUUUGAUUAAUUAACAUAUUAAUUAAUCCUUGCCAUAAAUAAUUAAACCAUUUAAUUAUUCUUACUCAUCUCCGAUGUUUCUUCAAUCUCUACCUUACUCGGUGUACGAUCCAUUAGGUUCCUUUUAGCGAGGCAGUGGGCGAUUAAAACUCUUUCAAAUCGAUUGUGAAUUGAAACUUACUUUCAAUUCUCCCUUUAGUGUUUAUACACGUUUAGGGCUUCCACAAACCAUGAGUGACACCUAGCAGCAUAUCAUGGUUACCCAAGCUAAUCAGAAGAGGUGGAGAACCUAUUCAGUUUAGGAUUACAAUGCAAUACGGUCUUUCUCUAAUACAAUACUUUUGACCACAUUGUUUGGUUUGAUAGUUUAUUCAUGUCUACUAUCCAAUGUGAUUCAUUUACUUAUAUGAUUACCUUAAAUGUGAUUUGGAACGCCUUCCUAAAUCUCAUUCAUACUUUGGCCAAAUAUUCUUAAUCAUAUCAUAGAGUAUUCACCCUCAAACGGUUUGAAGGUUAGAGAUCCCUUGUUGCGCAUUCACUUGCCUCCAUGGCUAAGUGGCUUAACCCCAACGAUGCCGUGGACACCCGUAGAUGGGGUGACUUUGACAUAAUUAAAGAUCAAUGACCUAACCACAAGACAACUAUGAUGCCUCAGGUCAAAUGACUACUUUGCAUUAUCCCAACUAUGAGUUCUCAUGUGACAUGAAUAUGAGAACUCUUCGUUGAUCGUGUUCUGUGAACUCAUUCUCUAUUGAGCACCUACGUACUUGUCUUGGUGUCAGACACACCAAUGACUCGAGACUAGUCACUCUCCCUGAGAGAAGACACAACACGUACUGAUCUUAACGGACUGUCAAUGCCCAAUUGGCAAUCCUAUGAUCAGGAACGUUUAGGAUGUGUAUACGAAAUAAUGGUCUCAUGAAUCUAACUUCUUUAGAUUGCAUUCUCCCAAUCACAUAUUCCUUGGACUUAUCGUUUAAGCAUAUAACAUUUAUAUGAGAUGGCUCAAACAAUAAUCUUUGCCCUUUAUAUUUAAACUACAUUAGUUUAAUAUGUGAAAAUGUCCGAAAAGUAUCAUCAUAUGAUUGGUUUUAGGGCACAUUUCUAACAACCAUAAUAUCCCCCAUCCAUUCUACACCAUUCAUAACCCCAAAACCUGUCCCCCAAACUUUGUGCCGCAGCAAGGAGGAAGGGGAAGUUCGUGGAUGCACCUGUUGUCCAAGUUGGAGUGUCUAGGUGUUCUCUUUCUUUGGAUUUCAAUGUCUAAACUUAUUUAUCUUUGCUUUGUGCGUAUGAGGAACUAAACCCCCCUUGGCUAGGGGGGAUUCGAAACCAUGUUUAUACUUGCUAUAUGAUUUGAUUACUUUCAAUUGCGUUUCAUAAGUUGUGGAUUCAAUUUGCUUAUCUAUUUGAAUUAAACUGGUUUGUGUGUGUUGUUUGAGAGUGCAGGCUUAAUUUUCAUGCAUAAAUCUAAUGCUAGGAUAUAAGGGAGUUUCACCUAAUUGUUAUGAACUUAUAUUCACUGGUAGUAAAGGUUGUUGAUCACAAUCGCGUUAAGUAAAUUCUUGGAAUAUGUUUCAUGUGCUUUCAUAGUUACUAGUGCCUCGUCAAUACUUAUGAUUUUCAUUGAACGUAAUGAUCUUUGAUUGUAUCUCUAUUAUGCACUUUCAUGUAGGGAAUUUUUGAGGAAUAAUUUGAUUGUGAUGCGCUUUUUCCAUCCAAUUCAUUGACUUAAGCGUAUCUAAUUAACUUGGGGUGUUGAGAAUUCAUGGUUUAUUGAAAGACAAUUGGAAAUCGUUUUGUAUGCAAGUGUGACAUAUGUGGAGAAGAACCCCUUAGCUAGCUUUCCAUCCAUUCACUUUAAUCAAAUUCGUUUUAAAAUCUGUUUAGUUUACAAUGUUUUUGUUUUGUUUUCAAUUUCGUCAAAACCAAAUCCCCCUUUAUUUUGAAGUGUUAGAUUAGUUACAAAUCAAUUUAGUUUGUGUGUUUAAGUGUCUUGAGUCAAGUUAUAAUCUAUUUUCGUCCAAAUUUGUGUUUGGUGUUCAAAACUGCCCAGAUUGUGUUUUUAAGGCAGUUUUGAGUGUUUGUGCUGUUUUGAGUUUUUUUGGUUUGCUUUAGUGUUUUAGAGUUUAGUUUUGCAUUCUUUGAGUCUAGUUUAGUGUUUUAAACUUUGUUUUACGUUUUUGAGUCAGUUUUCAAGUGAUUUAGCAAUCCCUCCUAAUCCCCGGCCUAGAACGAUCCCUACUUACAUACUUUGCUACAAUUGAUAAAAAGAAGGUUUAAUUUGUGUGCUUAUAUAUUUCGCAUCAUUAGACUACCUAAAGUUCGUAAAUACCAAGGAAAACCUUCAAAUUCCCUUUGUUUGCUCAAAAUGGAGUUGAAAGUGUUUAAAACUGGACUGAUUCACUUGCCUCCAUGGCUAAGUGGCUUAACCCCAACGAUGCCGUGGACACCCGCAGAUGGGGUGACUUUGACAUAAUCAAAGAUCAAGGACCUAACCACAAGACAACUAUGAUGCCUCAGGUCAAAUGACUACUUUGCAUUAUCCCAACUAUGAGUUCUCAUGUGACAUGAGUAUGAGAAUCUUGAAUCUUGAGAACUUGUUUCUGUCGUGAUCGUGUUCUGUGAACUCAUUCUCUAUUGAGCACCUACGUACUUGUCUUGGUGUCAGACACACCAAUGACUCGAGACUAGUCACUCUCCUUGAGAGAAGACACAGCACGUACUGAUCUUAACGGACUGUCAAUGCCCAAUUGGCAAUCCUAUGAUCAGGAACGUUUAGGAUGUGUAUACGAAAUAAUGGUCUCAUGAAUCUAACUUCUUUAGAUCACAUUCUCCCAAUCACAUAUUCCUUGGACUUAUCGUUUAAGCAUAUAACAUUUAUAUGAGACGGCUCAAACAAUAAUCUUUGCCCUUUAUAUUUAAACUACAUUAGUUUAAUAUGUGAAAUGUCCGUAAAGUAUCAUCAUAUGAUUGGUUUUAGGGAAUGAUCGGAUCAUAUUUAUAUAUAUUUUUACUUCGAAUUCACUCGUCUUUUCUUAGUUAGUUCCUUAUAUUUUUGAGCUAUUUAUGUUAUUUUUGUGUUUAUAGGAUUUGUUAUGCAAAGAAAAUAAAAAUAGCAUAAAUGAGUUUUAAAUAAUAAACAGAAAGAAUAUUGAUUUUAUUUUUGGAUUGGGUUUUAUUUUGGUUUAUUUUAUAUGCAUUGAAUUGAUUGUUUCAUAGAAUAUUGGUUUUGGAUUUGUUACUUGAAUUUGUUCUUAAUUCCCAAACUGCUACUAAUUUAGAGUUUAUGAUACAAAUCAAUUUUGUAUUAUAUUGUGAAAGGAGAAUCCAAGAAGGUAGGCUGCCAGCGGAAGAAAAGUAAAAGGUCAGAAAAGAAAAAUAGGGAGACAGCUGGGGGAAUAAUUUUGGAACAAGAGGAGAGAUAGAAGGGAUUGAUGCGGGCCCUUGCAGGUGGAAAGCUGUGAAGACCGACAGAAUUGAGGGCAGCAAGGCUGCCAGAGAGGGGAAAGAAUAAAAUAAAAGGCAGGGAGAGGCUGCUGCUUUAAAGCAGCGUGAGAUAGAGACACGGGGGGAAUAACGCUGUCCUUUGGCAGUGAGGUCAGGGAGAGACGGAAAGCAGAAGGAAGUCAGGGAGCUGCCUUUGCAGCUGGCGAGUCAGAAAACAGCGUGCAGAAAGUGAGGGCAGAGAGGCACUGGCAGACUGGAGGAAUAAGAAACACGAAAAGCAAAGUGAGGGGAGGAGGAUAUAGAAGUGAGACGGGGGAAUUGGUGGGGGGAGAGGGCUGCCCUUUGGGCAGCGUGAAGCUGCGGAGAGAAGGGAAGGGGGAAGCUGCCCUUUGGCAGCGAGGUCAGACAGCACAGGAAAACAGAAAGAAGGAGGGCAGCUCGCAGAGACGCAGGAAGAGGACCGAGAGGAGAGGGCUGCCCUUUGGGCAGCGUGAAGCAGCUUGAGGAAGGGAAGUCAGUGGCGAGGAGGACAGGAGGUCAGCAUGAAAAUGCAGUUCAGAGUCCAUGCAGUUCAGAGUCCAAGCAGCAGAUCCUUUCUUUCGGUUUAAUCUUUCCAAACUCCUAUUUUAUUUUUAUUUUAAUAAUGUGUAAUUAAUUUUAUUUUGGCUAGAGGUUAAUUUGAAACCAUGAAUAUAUUUGUAAUAUGAAUUGAUUACCUUCGGUUGUGAUUUCAUAAGUUGUGAUUUCAAUUUACUUAUCCGUUCGUAUAAAAACUGAUUUGUGUAUGUUGGUUGAGAGUGCACGCUUAAUUUACAUGCAUGAAUUUGAUGCUAGAAUAUAAGUGAAUUUCACCUAAUCGUUAUGAACUUAUUUUCACAAGUAGUAAAGGUUGCUAGUCACAAUCACGUUAAGUAAAUUCUUGGCAAGAGUAUCAUGCUUUUCAUAGUUACGAAUGCCUCGUCGAUGCUUAUAGUUUUCACAAAGUUUAAUGAUCUUUGAUUGUAUCGCUAUUGUGCUUUUCACGUAGGGGACUUUUGAAGAAUGUUUUGAAUUGUUGUAUGCGUUUUUCCGUCCAAUUCAAUAACUUAAGGAAAACUUGAAGAUUAAAAAAGUGCUGUUCACGGUUAAUCUGGAGUAUUGAGAUUCACAAUUUAUUGAAAGAAAACAACUGAAAAUCAAUUUAGGUUGCAUAUGUGUCAUGUGUGGAGAAGAACCCUCUAGCUAGUCCGUCAUUUAUCCUUUCACCUUAAUUUCAUGUUUUUGUCAAUUCUGUAAUUUAAUUAAGUUUAAUUUACUUUUCAUCAAAACCAAACACCCAUCCAUUAUUAAAUUAUAUUAUUUAUUUAGUUUUCUUUAUUGUUAGUCUUUUAAUUUAAUUUCCGUCCAUUUCAGUUCCUAGUGUUUAAUUUAAUUGUUUUCAUUAUUUUGAGUCAUUUUAAGUGUGUUUCGAGUUAUUAGAGUUUUUAGCCUAGUUUUGUGUCCUUGAGUCUUAUUUAAUAUUUUUAAGUUAAUUUAAUAGAUUAGCAAUCCCUCCUAAUCCCCGGCCUAGAACGAUACCCUACUUACAUCUAUACUACAAUUGUCAAAAAGAGGGUUUAAUUUGUGUGCUUAUAUAUUUCGCAUCAGGGAACAUUUCUAACAAUGGGCCGAUCCAUGGCUCUAUCGAUUCUGGGCUAGCCUGGAGACUAGCUUGGGCUGUGUGCUAGCCUAUCUGCUGGGCUGGAGUGGAUUGGUUGGGUGCCAGCCUAAAGAGUUCCCUGUGAAACUACUCUUAGUGGCAUGGUGACGUCAGUUGGUAGUGUCACAAAAGUUUCAUUGUUCCGUAGAACUCAGAGAAGAAGGAAGGUCAGCAAUUUCGAAUUGUCUAAGAAAGAGGACGAGUUGCAAGUUUUAUGAAAAAACCUGGGCAAAAUGACAUUGUUUGGGUAGGGUUAGUUUGAGGAAAAAAAAAAGCCCAAAAAACCUUAAGGCGCGACUCAGCCGCCUAGGCACGCCUCGACCACAUCUAAGCGAGUUUAAGACUAUUCCUAUUGAGCAAGGGCAUUUUCACCACCGCCAUGCCUCCAAAUAGCGCCCUAGGUGCUCUUGAAGGCACGUUUUUUGAAACAUUGUGUAUAAUACACGUGCAUACGUACUGUUCAUAUUUAUUACAUGUUAUUUAGACAUAUUUUUCAAUAAUAGGCAUACAAUUCACGUAUCUGAUACGUAUUUUUGACAUAUUAUUGAAAAAACAAAAUUAAAUAAUAUUAAAAUUUUGAAAAAUGAUCGAAUUUUUUUUUUUUUUUUUUUUGAAAGAAGUACAAUAUUCAUUAAAAGAGAAUUGGAAUACAUACAAACUAAGGAUAGGGUGCAAACUGGGCCUCAAUAAAAACCUUGUCGGGGAUUUCAACCCGGUCGAAGGAAAAGAAUGUCCCGCACAAACAACAAGCCUAUCCUCAAAUGACAAUAUAAAGAGAAAUUACAAUCCUUCCUCAAAUAAUGUCUUGGAGCAAAUUUGGAGGAUCCUUGAACCACACAACUUCCUGAGAACCGCCAAUCCCCAUUUGAGCAAGUCGAUGGGUUGCCAAAUUGCCUUCCCUCCGGACAUGGCUACACACUGCAUUCGACAAUUCUGUAAUAAAAGACCUCGAAUCAUUUAUCAUAGAGCCACACAUUGAGUAAUUCUCCCCAUUACCCUUCAUAGCCACCACCACCACACUAGAAUCGCCUUCGAAUUGAACCUUCACAUCACCCGAAGAAAAAGUCUUAACCAGCCCCACCGCACAUUGAGCUGCAAUCAGCUCCGAGUGAAGGGCCGACACAGAACUUUCAAUUGGUCCCGCAAUGGCUACAACAAAUUUCCCAGUGUGCUCCCUAACCACAACGCCAUAACCCCCAUUUCCCCCGAUGACCACUAGAAUUCCACGGCUCAUCGAAGUUACAUUUUAUCCACCCCUCAUCAGGUUUCUUCCACUUUUGACACUUCUUGGUUGCCUUCCAGGUCUCAGGCUUAUGCCAUUUAUGAUACUCAUGUAACCAUCCCUCGGACUUCAAGACAAUCUCGUGUGGUGCCAGUCGAGCCCUAUUCCAAAGUACCUCAUUUUGAUGCUUCCAUAAAGCCCACAGCAAAAUCAAACAGAGCUUAAGACUCACCAUGGAUAUCUGCUACACAAUAUUCCCCAAUCACUGGGCAAGAGACAUACGUUCACUCCCAUUAACCACUUUCAACCUCAGACUUCGGACCCACACUGCACUUGCCAAGCUACAAUCUCUGAGCACAUGUUCCGUUGAUUCGAUUGGCACCCCACAAACCACACACACCUCUUCACCCAUCACUCCCCGCUUACUCAGGUUCAACCGUGUAGGCAAAGAAUCCAAGCAAGCACGUCAAACACAAAUCUUCACCUUCCUCAAAACAUUUGCAUUCCAUAGCUUCUUCCAAAACUUCUCCCCCACCCCACUCCACUCAAGACUGAUGAGACACCCGCUACACCACUGCUGUGACUUGAUGCGAAAUAUAUAAGCACACAAAUUAAACCCUCUUUUUAUCAAUUGUAGUAAAGUUUGUAAGUAGGGAUCGUUCUAGGCCGGGGAUUAGGAGGGAUUGCUAAAUCACUUGGAAACUGACUUGAAAACGUGAAAACAAAGUUUAAAACACUAACUAGACUCAAAGAAUGCAAAACUAUACUUUAAAACACUAAAACAAACCAAAAGACUCAAAACAGCCCCUAAACACUCAAAACUACCUUAAAAACACAAUCUGGGCAGUUUUGGGACUCUCACACAAACUUGGACAAAUUUUAGUUUUCUAAUGAACUAAAACACUUAAAAACAUAAUCUAAGACAAGUUCUAAUUAAUAUGACUCAAAGAAAUAAGAUGGGGUUGAUUUUCGACGAAAAUAAUUAAAUUAAGACAAGAACAAAGUAAACAAAUUCUUAGACAAAUUUGGGUGAAUCAAAACACUCUAACACACAACCAAAACAGAAAUUAAACACUUUGAAACAAUAAAGUAAAAGGGGGAUUUUGGUUUUAAUGAAUUUGAAAACAAAACAGAUUGUAAGUGAAUUUGAAUGAAACUUAUGGAUGGAAGAUUAGCUAAGAGGUUCUUCUCCACAUAUGUCACACUUGCAUACAAAACGAUUUCCAGUUGCUUUUCGAUAAGCUAUGAAUACUCAACGCCCCAAAUUAACCGUGAAUUGCACUAAUUAACCCUCAGUUUUUUCCACAAGUUAUUAGGUUGGAUGAUUGCAUACGACAACCCAAAACAUUCCCUACAAGUUCCCUACAUGAAUUGCAUAAUAGAGAUACAAGCAAGAAUCAUUAAGUUCUAUGAAAAACAUAAGCAUUGACGAGGCACUCGUUACUAUGAUUUGCAUGAAACUUAUGCCAAGAGUUUACUUAACGUGAUUGUGACUAGCAACCUUCACUACUUGUGAAUAUAAGUUUAUAACAAUUAGGUGAAACUCCCUUAUAUUCUAGCGUCAAAUUCAUACAUGAAAAUUAAGCGUGCACUCUUAACCAACAUACACAAAUUAGUUUUUAUAUGAACGGAUAAGUAAAUUGAAUUCACAACUUAUGAAUCACAACUGGAUGUAAUCAAAUCAUAUUGCAAGUAUGAACAUAGUUUCGAAUCUGAUACGACCAAUAUUGCAUACAUUUUAAUGCCCUUUAGUUUAGAUUUUUGUUAUGUUUUUGAGUGAAUUUAGUUUGUUUCAUUUAGUUUUAUGUUUUUCUUAGAUUUGAAGAGUGAAGAUGAAGAAAGAAGAAAAAUGAGCAUUUUGGCGAUUGAAGUGAGUUAUGUGCCCUGGAAGCAGAAGCUGUUUGUGCAGAUCAGCCAACUUGACGGAAUAAACUGUACUUCCUCAAAAUGAACCAGCUGUUGAGCCUUAUACCAUGGGAAAGAUAUGGAUGUUAGCUUUCAGAGGAAUUUUACGGACUGUGAUUUCGAGUUUCCUAGACGAUGUUAUGAAAGUUUUUGUACAAGACGUCGGUCAGCCAAGUCUACGCGGAAAUUGCAAAAUCUGUUGGGUUUUUUCAAGUCAUAAUUCAGUCGAAGCCCAAAGCCCAAGAUAGAAAACGUUGGAGAUGAUUUUACUCCUAUUUCAAAUGGGUCUGGAGUAAUUUACUUGGGAAACUUACCUGCCACAUCAUCAAUUAUCCAAUACAAAUGAGGAAAAGAUUAAAAAAAAGACCUAAGGAUGCUAGGAUUUUGACGAAUGAUAAGGGAGAGAUUGUAGGAAGAAAAGGGGGUUCUCUGGUGAGGGAUUCUCUGCGUGUUUUUGGAGGAGCAGAAGCCGCUUUCCAUUUUUCCUAAGUUUUUCAUGUUCUUAAUACUUUUAAUUAUGUUUUCUUAUUUUAUGAGUAACUAAACUCUUUUUCUAGGGUUAGGAUGAUGCCCUAGCAUGAAUGUCUAUGGUUUUUAAUGUUAUUCAUUGGAUUUCUAGUUUCUUUUAGAUGAAUGCUUAAUCACUGUUUGAACUGUUACUAUUUGUUUGAGUUCUUUGAUUGAUCACCUUAGGACUUUGCAUCUAGUAAGAUUGGAAGAUGAAUUUGAGGCUGAACUAGCAAUAUAAUUCAAUUAGCUUCUUGUGGUUAAGUGUGGUAAAUUACAUUAUUGCUUGACAAAGAAUAAUGGUUUGCUUGGUUCCCCUUGUUUUCUAGAGCGUAAAGAGUCCUACUUGUUAAAUUUAUGCCUUAACCAGGAUAGACUGCAUGUUAGGAUAUACGACCUCUGCCUAAACUAGGAGAGAAUCAUUCACUUAAGGAAAACUAUGGUCUAAUGUGCCUGACAAGGACUUAGAUACGAGAAUUAUCAUCUAAAGAAUUGAAAGAUCCAUUGAAUGCAUUGAAACCUAAAUUAGAUUGCUUGUGGUUGAUUCCGAAUCCCUAGACUUUUCAUCACUUGCCUUAAAACACAACAUUUUCUUUUCUUUGAUUUCAGUUUUUACUUAAGGUUCUGUUUUUGUUCAUUUAUAAAAUCAUCACAACAAAUUCUUUACAUCCUUGAUUGAUUUAUUAAUUAAGAUCGAGUCUAGUUCGUUGUUUGGGGUUGUGUGUCAUUAAUAUUAUUAGAUUUGGUUUAGUUUAUCAAAUUGGAGAUUUAAUUAGAAUCCUCGUGGGAACGAUACUUGGACUUGCAACACGCUAUAUUACGACUAUCUUGUGCACUUGCAAGUUUACACCAGAAUCACCCCCUAACUAAGAGGGGUUUAGUUCCUCAUACUCACAAAGCAAAGAUACAUAAAAUUAGACAUUAAAAUCAAAGGAAAGAAAACACCUAAAAUGCUCCAACUUGGUAGCAAGUGCAUCCAAGAUUCCUCCUUUCCCUUGCUUGCGGCAGAUUGGGUUAUGGACAGAUUUUGGGUAGUUUUAUGAUGUAGAAUGGAUGGGGAAUGGUAUGGAAGGGUUUAGGGUGAGUGUGGAGGAGUGUUUGAUGGUUGGAGGGUGGUGGAGAACUAGGCAAAGAGGGUGGAAGAAGGUGGAGUGGCUGUUAUGUUUUCUAGGCACUAGAAUGGUGUUUUUGGGGUGUUUUGCUUCCUAGGGUGUGUAUGGACGAAUUUUUGUGAUAAAAUGAUGAAUAUGGGGGAUUGUCCUUUGGCCAAGGGGUGUAAACAUGUAUUUAUAGGCCCCCAAAAACCUUAGAAAAUCAGGUUAGGUUAAGGAUGAAAUGCAUGGCAAUUUGUGUGUGUGGUGUGCAAUGGUCCAAGGGUGAAAAUGAAGUAAUGAUGCAAAGUGUGAAGGGUAAAAAUGGAGUGGUGUUGUAGCUAGGGAGCAUGAAUGAUUGUGUACAUUGCAUAGAGAUGGAAAGGGAGGUGAAAUGUGUCAACAAAUGGGUCAAAUGUGCAACAACAUGUGUUGCACAUGGCAUUGGAUUCCAAAUGUGAAUAAUGGAGCAUCAAUUGGUGCAUGUAAUGGAUGUAAAUAUUGUCUAAAAUCUAAUGAGUGAAGGGAACAAGAGGUAUCAAGCAAUUGAGUGUAAUAAUUAAAUGAAUUGAAGCAUGAAAUUAGAAAUUAUGUAGGGGACAAGAGUGAUCAAGCAUGGCAUGGAAUCCAAAGGGAAUUCUAUGUGGUUUGCAUGGCAAGGAAUGCAAGUUGGGGUGACAGAUUUUUGGGCUGUUUUCUUCAUCUUUUGGACCAUAAUUCUUCAUAUUCUUGGCCUCUUUAGUUCUCAAAAUCGUCCAUCCACUUGGCCCAUGCAUUUGCUAUCCAUUCCAAGCCCGAAACAUGCUCCAAAGGCCUCCAAAAUGCAUCUUCUUGCAUACUUUGUCUUGCAUACUUGUCCAUAAAAUCUGAAAACACACGAAAAUGACUUUAAACAUUAAAAUAACUAAGGAAACAUGACAUAAAUGCACAAGAACAAGCCAACUAAGUCGCAUAAAUGUGCUCCUAUCAAAUUCCCCCACACUUAGCUUUUGCUAGUCCUCGAGCAAAACAAAGAGAUAAAACGAAACAAAGUAAAUAAAACACAACCUAAACCUUCCAACAUUUGCCUCAGGGAUUUCCAAUGCACAUGACAUGUUAAAAAUUAUUAUCCCCACAGAUUUGAGUCAUCUUCACACUUAAGCACGUACUUAAUCAUAGUCACCACUUACUUGUUCACAAUUAAUCGAUUAAAAUAAUGUUUUUGAUGUAGUAACAUGCCUUAGAGAAAUCACUCAAUUCCUUACAAGAUAUGCACUCAAUUUUCACUCAGAUUUUCUAACUACACACCCUAUACUAGUUAUAUGUGAGAAGAUUGAUGUAGAUAUGAAAACGAACGCUCACAUAUAUGUAUCACAAAGAAAGCAAUUUCUGGAGUUAAUAAGCAUGUUUAGAUAUGAUCUCAUGAAUGGAAUGCUAACUACUUAGAUGCGAGAACCAGUGACACCAUAUGCUCAUACCAAAUUCAAACUCCACAUAUUGAAACGCAUGACACUCAAGAUGAAGUUAAGGGUUGUAACGGGGCUUGGGGUGAUGGCUAACAAAUGAAGGAUAAGGAUAACAAUCGUUCUUAAAGCAAUAGCAAGUAAAGUAAUGAAAUUGAAACUUAGAAUUCACUUAGAUUGCAGAAAUCAGCUUUUAGACACGAAGGGAAAAUUCAAGCAAUAAUUAGGGCCAAAUUCUAUGUUUUGGACCCUUUCUUCAACAAGCAGCACUUUAAAACUCUUUUUCGCAUAUUUUUCAACUCCUUUUUUUUUUUUUUUUUUUUUUUUUUUUCAACUCUUCUUUUCUUUUCAACAAGCAUAAUAACUCACACUUCCCCCACACUUGUUUUCUGCCAUACAUUAAUCAAAAGAAAUACAAUUUGAAUCAUGCUUUACUAUGCUUCAAGAAUAAGGGUAUGGAUGGUCCUAAACUAGGCUAGGUAAGGAUAAUGUGGUUUAACAAAGAAUGUAGGCUAUCAAGGCUCAAUGGGGUUAACUUAAACAUAUAACGAUAUGGGAUACAUGGCAGUUUGGCUUUGGUGGUGGUAACUACACAACUUCAUCUUGAAUAUGUUUUAUGCAAAUCAAUAGCAUGCUUUGAAUGAAAUAGGCAUGAGUUCUAGCAUUUGGAACUAAAUGAUGAAACGCCUUCUAAGUAAUAACCAAGCAAAGAAUAAUGAGAUCAUGCAAUGACUUUAGAAAACAAGAAUGCACAGAUUUUAACUCUCCAAAUAAACGUUUAAGCUCAAGUCUCACAAGGUUGUAGUGUUAGUUUGAGUUCUUUCCUUCAAGCAUGUUACAAAAACUAAUUUUUUUUCUUUUAUGAUUACAUGUGAUUUCAUAAGUUAUAACCACAACCACGCAUAAAUAAAGAGUAAAUCAAACUUUCAUCCAUGUUUAUAACUCUCUUUAACAGUCAUGCAAUUACAAACCGAAUCCUCAUCAUUGUGUUGGAAGGUACCCUAAGACACAAAUAAGCACACAAAAACAACUAUUUUUGGGAUUUUCAAAACAAUUUUUCAAAUUUUUAUGAAUUUUCGGAUUUUUAUGUCAAAACACACUGAAACACUCCAAAACAGCUUAAAAAUACUUAAAACAACAAGGAACAACACUAGAAGUAAUGGGUGAUAAAUUUCUACGAAUUUCAUGCAAAACAAUGGUUACCCCCCCCCACACUUAAAUCAAACAUUGUCCUCAAUGUUUCAAGCAUAUACUCACACCAAAAACAAGCAAAUAACAAACGACAAAUAAACAUGACAAAUAUGGCAAAGUAAAAACCAGAUAGAGUAGAGUUUAAAAACGCAAAUCUGGUUUUGGAGAUAGUUGAUCUUGUUGACUUUCCACAGCUUUGAUCUUGAACUGGUUUGGAAUUCUGAGCGGGGAAUAUCAGAGUGCAGUCUGCAUUCUUCUCUGCUUGUUUCUUCUCCACGGCAGGCAGGCACGAGGUAAAGGUGUUGGUCUGUUUCUUUCUUCAAUCUUUCCAAGUGCCCACCUCUUGCUCUCUUUCUCCUUGUCCUUAGUUGAGGAUGAAUCAGCACGUUGUCUCCACAUGCUUCGAGGUAUCAUCUUCACUUCCCUUAUAAGUGAGAAACAAAGCGAAAGCAUAAGAUGAUGAGUACUCGAGAGCAAGAGUGGCUGGAGAAAGGACAGGGAGAAAGCAUGAUAUGAGAUACUCUUGCUCUCAACCCUUAUGAUAUGAAAUACUUGUGCUCUGGAUGGGUUAUUUGCAGGGGUAUCCCAGGGGAUGAAAAAUACAGAGUGACUCGAGAGGGUUUGUCGGAAAGCCAUUUCAUAGAGGAUGAAGGGUUAAGUGAGGCUAAAAGUUGGGUGAGACUGCUUCACUUUGAAGUUCAACAUUUAUAGAAUUUUCUUAAUGGCUGGGGAAGGCAUUGUUCCAUUACUCGUGUCAGCAAGCCUGGGAUAAUUUAACAGUAGUUUCCACGUGCAUUCCACUUCUCAAAAAAAAUUUGACAGAUUGCGCGUGAUUUACGCAACGCAGAUGUGCAAAUUGACAGAUGCUGACACGUCUCGAUAAAGCAGAGGUCUCUUUAAUAUCCGGAAUUUACGCUUCGAGUUCUGAGCUUCGUUGAGGGCAGAGAUUGCAUGUGACAAAUGCUGACGAGGCUGAGAGAGACAGAUGGUUGGAAUCGGUGCUUCGACAGAUUGCCCGUGAUUUUCGCAAAGCUGAGUUGCAUGUGAUGGGUGCUGACGAGGCUGAGACAGUUGACGCUCUUCGGUAUCUGGAAUUGGUGGUUUGUGAGCAAGCCCAACUUUUGAGAAAGCUGGCGCCUCUUCGAUCUCCGAAUGGCUUCUUCGAUUUCUGAGCUCACCUCUUCGAUCUCUGAAAUCCCAUCGCGUGCUGAUUUUUAUAGAGGUAUGCAAGAUGUUCAAAGCACACUUGAAUUUCUGCCUGUAAAAACUCCCAUUUUGCACUUCUACAAUCUUGACUUGUCCGAUCUCCUCUUUCUUUAACACCUCUGAAAAAUGUCUGGCCCUUCCGACCGUCAUUUUGACUUGAACCUUGAUGAAGGAGCAGCCCCUCCUUCUCCAGACAACAUAUGGCGCCCGUCCCUCAUAUCCCCUACUGGUCCUCUCACCGUUGGGGAUUCGGUGAUGAAAAAUGACAUGACCGCUGCGGUGGUGGCCCGGAACCUUGUCACCCCCAGAGAUAACAGACUGCUCGCUAGACGAUCUGAUGAAUUGGCGGUUAAGGAGUCUCUGGCUCUUAGCGUGCAGUGUGCGGGUUCUGUGUCCAACAUGGCCCAACGCCUAUUUGCUCGAACCCGUCACGUUGAAUCGUUGGUGGCUGAAAUACAGAGUCUCAAAGAGGAGAUUAGAGGACUCAAACAUGAAAAUAAACAAUUGCACAAGCUUGCACACAAUUAUGCCACAAACAUGAAGAGGAAAAUUGACCAGCUGCAGGAAAAUGAUGGUUAGAUUUUACUUGAUCACCGGAGGUUUGUGGGUUUGUUCCAACCGCAUCUGCCUUCGUCUUCUGGGGCGGCACCGCGUAGCGAAGCUCCAACUGAUCAACCUCCGAUACCUCCUCCUUCUGUGGCCCCACCGAAUGCUGAGACUCCGCCGACUACUGCAACUCCGCCGACUACUGCGACCUCUCCCAAGCAGCCUUUGUGAAGGCUUUCUCUUGUAUUAUGCUAUGUUUCUUUAUUUCCCAGUUUGCUGUUCAUUUCCACGAAGUUUAAUGUUAAAAUCCUUUGCAUAUUUGUUAAUGUUUCAAAAUAGAAAAUCACAACCAAAAAUAAUUAAACAAGUAAUAAAAUUGACAAUCAAGCAGAAUAAAUGGGUUGCCUCCCUUAAAGCGCUUGCUUUAACAUCUUCCAGCCGGACGAUGAACACCUUCACUUCUCCUUGGAACCCAUGGCAUGCAGUGGGAUCUCCUCCACAACAUGCUCCACAAAGUGCUCGUAGUAUGGCUUCAAGCGAUGUCCAUUCACCUUGAAUUCUUGCCUGGUUCUCAAGCUCUUAAUUUGGACUGCACCAUGCACAAAAAGAUUAGUAACAACAAAUGGGCCAACCCACUUGGAACGUAACUUACCAGGGAAUAGACGAAGGCGGGAGUUGAACAACAACACUUUCUGCCCAAUUUCGAAAGUCUUGCCUCGAAGCAUCUUAUCAUGGAAUGUCGUGGUCUUCUCUUUGUAAAUUCUAGCAUUCUCAUAAGCUUCAUGCCUUAUCUCAUCAAGUUCACUCAAUUGAAGCUUUCGAUGAAUUCCGGCUCGAUCACACAUCAAUUCAAAGGGAAUGGACCAAUCCGGGGGAGUUAUGAUGGGUGCCGUGGUGAUGAGGUCCUUAAGAUGCUUGAAUGCUUGCUCACACGCCUCGUUGAACUCGAAAGGCACUUCCUUUUGUAGGAGACGGCAUAGGGGUUGUGCAAUCUUGGAAAAUCCUUGAUAAAUCGUCUAUAGAAUCCUGCAUGACCAAGGAAAGAACGAACCUCUCUCACCGAAGUGGGAGAGGGUAAGUAGCGUACAAGAUCUAUUUUAGACUUAUCAACUUCAAUUCCACGUUCAGAGAUAAUAUGACCCAAAACAAUACCUUGUUUAACCAUAAAAUGGCAUUUCUCCCAAUUUAACACAAGGUUUGUUUCAACACAACGUUUCAAGAUUAAAGUGAGAUUAUCCAAGCAAUUAUCAAAGGAAUUACCAAACACACUAAAAUCAUCCAUGAAUAUCUCAAUAAUCCUCUCAACAUAAUCAGAAAAGAUGCUAACCAUACACCUUUGAAACGUGGCAGGAGCAUUGCACAAACCGAAUGGCAUGCGUCGAUAUGCAAACGUUCCAAAGGGACAAGUAAAAGUGGUCUUUUCUUGAUCAUCCAGGGCAAUAACAAUUUGAUUAUAACCGGAGUAUCCAUCAAGAAAGCAAUAAAAGGAAUGACCGGCUAACCUUUCUAGCAUUUGAUCUAGGAAUGGCAAUGGGAAGUGAUCUUUCCUUGUGGUUGCAUUUAGCUUCCUAUAAUCAAUGCACACUCGCCAACCGGUUUGAAUUCGGGUGGGCACAAGCUCAUUCUCCGCAUUCUCGACAACCGUCACUCCAGAUUUCUCGGGCACACAUUGGAUAGGUGAAACCCAACGGCUAUCGGAGAUGGGAUAAAUCACCCCACAAUCUAGAAGUUUGAUUAUCUCCUUUUUCACAACUUCCAUCAUCGGAGGGUUAAGACGGCGUUGAGCCUCUCUAGUUGGUUUGGCCCCCUCCUCUAGAAAUAUGUGAUGCAUACAAGUCGUAGGGCUUAUACCUUUAAUAUCGGCCAAUGUCCAACCUAGGGCAGAUUUGAAUUCCUUCAAGACACGCACUAGCUUCUCCUCCUCUUGUGCCGUGAGGGAUGAGGAGAUGAUGGCAGGUAGCGUCUCAUUUUCCCCCAAAAAGAUGUACUUCAAAUGGCUUGGUAGGGGUUUGAGAUCAAGUAUGGGUGCCUGAACGAUGGAUGGAAGCAACUUGUUAGUCGAAAUUGGAAUGGAAUUAAAGUUAGGAGACUUACCACCAUGCUUAGGUAGUGACUCAAGGGCAGCAACCAACUCAAAAAUUUCAUCACUAGGAGGCACGACAUGGCCUAGUCCAUGUAUGCCGUGGGUUACACUAGAAUCUGCCCCCUUGGUUGUGAGUUUCAUUCCUCGUGUAAUGACUUUUUCAAGCGCAUUGUCAUUCAAAUCUUCAAGAUAUCCCUGCGCCAAAGAGUCAAUUAUAUCAAUAGAGAAACAUGAAUGGUCCUCACUAGGGUACUUAAUGGAAUCAGAGAAAUUAAAAUUAACAACUUCCCCAUCAAAUUCCAUGGAUAACGUUCCACUAUACACGUCAAUCUUCGUUCGGGCCGUCUUCAUGAAUGGCCUUCCAAGGAGGAUAGGCAAUGAAGAAGCAUGAUCUGAUUCAUCCAUUUCGAGCACAUAAAAAUCUACUGGGAAGACUAAAUGAUCAACCUGCACCAAAACAUCUUCCAACACUCCCUUUGGAUAAGCGUUAGAUCUAUCGGCCAAUUGUAUGAUUACACCAUCAUGUUUCAACUCACCUAAGUUCAUAGAUACAUAAAUGGAGUAUGGCAUAACAUUUAUAGAGGCUCCUAAAUCUAGCAUGGCAGAUUUGAAACGAGUGUUACCAAUGACACACGGAAUUGUAAAGCUACCCGGAUCUUUGCAUUUGGGGGGUAGUUUACGUUGCAAGAUGGCGGAGACAUUUUCACCUACCUUCACAACCUCCUUGGUUGAAAUCCUCUUCCUAGUGGUGCAUAGCUCCUUUAAAAACUUAGCGUAUCUCGGGACUUGCUUAAUGGCAUCCAACAAGGGUAUGUUGACUUGAACUUUCCUAAGUGUCUCAAGGAUGUCCUUUUCAGCUUCUUCCUUCUUUGUUUGCACAAACCUGCUAGGAAAAGGAGCAUUCGAAGGCACAACAUAGUAGGAACCGAAUUUGAGACAUUCUUACCUUUAUUGGAUGAAUUGGACAGAUUUGGAGCCAUGGGGGCUUGCGGCAUAGGUGUGUCCACCUUUGCUGUGGGUGGGCAUGCUUCCUCCUCCUCAAAUUGAAGUUUUUCAUCCUCUUUGUGACCUGUUUUUGAUGAAGAACCUGCCCCAGUCUCUUUUCCACUUCUCAAGAGUAUGGCCUUUGCACUUUCAAAGCCUCCCUUCGGAUUUGGAAUGGUAGAACUAGGAAGCCUUCCUUGGUUUAAUCUGCCCAACAACGUCGGCAAUCUGCCCCAUUUGUUUCUCUAGUUGGUCCACUCUUUUGUUUUGAUUUUCCUGCCCAUUAGUCAAAGUGGUUAGUAACUUAACAAGUGUAUCAUUAUCCAAAGCAUUACCUGAAUUAUUUGGGGCCGAUUGUGGUUGGACUUGAAGGGGUGCGUAUGGUUUGUUGUAGAAGCCCGGGGGUUGUUGCCUAAAGCCUCCUUGUGGUUGGGCUUGUUGUGGCUCUCUCCAUUUGAAGUUUGGAUGGUCUCUCCACCCCGGAUUAUACGUGUUGGAAUAUGGAUCAUGUCUUGGCUGAUUUUGGCUUUGAAACCCAAUGGCAUUAGCGCUCUCCCAUCCACCAUUCUCGAUGAGUUGAGGACACUUUUCGGAUGCAUGUCCUUGGAUAGAACAUACGCCACACACCAUGGGUCCUUGAAUCUUCAUUCCCUCGGCCAUCUGUGAAACAAGAGAAGUAAGAUUAGCUAACUGAGAUUGAAUAUUGGAAGUGGAACUUACCUCAUGCACUUGUUGCCGUGGGGGUCCUCUUUGGCCUACACCCUCGUAUUGUUGAGCGUUCAAUGCUCGAUUAGCAAUCAAGAUUUUUGCAGCCAUGGGCGUUUUGUCUACCAAUGCUCCACCCGUCGAGGCAUCGAGCAUUUGACGUUCUAGUGGUAGGAGCCCUUCGUAGAAGUAUUGCAAAAGCAAUUCCUCCUUCAUCUGAUGCUGUGGACAAGAAGCAACAAGUGAUUUAAAUCGCUCAUAAUAUGUAGGAAAAGACUCACCUUCAUCUUGUUGAAUUCCACUUAUUUUUUUACGAAGAAGAAUGAUGCGAGAGGUUAGGAAAAACUUCUCCAGAAACGCCCUCUUCAUACUCUCCCAAGAUGUAACUGUACCGGGAGCCAACUCGUAUAACCAAUCCUUGGCUUUGUCCAUUAAAGAGAAUGGAAAAGCCUUCAUCUUUAAAAUACUUCCGUCAACGGUAACCGGAGUCAUUCUUGAGCACACCACUUCAAAUUCUUUCAAAUGUUUGUUCGGAUCCUCCAUGGACAGCCCAUGGAACUUUGGAAUGUGGUGGAGCAAACUUGACUUUAACUCAAACUCUUCAGUUUUACCUUGAGCAGCCAUGGGAUAUUGGAUACACAAUGGUGCGGCAUUAUCCAAACCCGAGGCGGUAAGCUCCUUGAGCGUACGGUUGUCCAUGGCUAUACCUUGCUCUUCUCCACCCACUUGUGCCGUGGGCUUCUCUUCAACCUCAACUUCUUGCUCUUCUAAUUCAAGCUCGGGACUAGGAGGAUUAGACUCUUGCAAUUUCUUUUUCCUUCUCAAAGUCCUCUCAAAAUCACCGUCAAAGUCGGAGAUAUGCUCACGAACAGGUUGUGAGCUACGGGUCAUAAACUAGUACCUAAAAACAAAGAAAAAAAACAAAUCAGCAACUUAAACAGAAACUUAAACAAAAUACAAUAAUUCGAAAGAAAACAAUCCAAGAGAUUAGCAAAGUUGCUAAUCCCCGGCAACGGCGCCAAAAUUUGAUGCGAAAUAUAUAAGCACACAAAUUAAACCCUCUUUUUAUCAAUUGUAGUAAAGUUUGUAAGUAGGGAUCGUUCUAGGCCGGGGAUUAGGAGGGAUUGCUAAAUCACUUGGAAACUGACUUGAAAACGUGAAAACAAAGUUUAAAACACUAACUAGACUCAAAGAAUGCAAAACUAUACUUUAAAACACUAAAACAAACCAAAAGACUUAAAACAGCCCCUAAACACUCAAAACUACCUUAAAAACACAAUCUGGGCAGUUUUGGGACUCUCACACAACUUGGACAAAUUUUGGUUUUCUAAUGAACUAAAACACUUAAAAACAUAAUCUAAGACAAAUUCUAAUUAAUAUGACUCAAAGAAAUAAGAUGGGGUUGAUUUUCGACGAAAAUAAUUAAAUUAAGACAAGAACAAAGUAAACAAAUUCUUAGACAAAUUUGGGUGAAUCAAAACACUCUAACACACAACCAAAACAGAAAUUAAACACUUUGAAACAAUAAAGUAAAAGGGGGAUUUUGGUUUUAAUGAAUUUGAAAACAAAACAGAUUGUAAGUGAAUUUGAAUGAAACUUAUGGAUGGAAGAUUAGCUAGGAGGUUCUUCUCCACAUAUGUCACACUUGCAUACAAAACGAUUUCCAGUUGCUUUUCGAUAAGCUAUGAAUACUCAACGCCCCAAAUUAACCGUGAAUUGCACUAAUUAACCCUCAGUUUUUUCCACAAGUUAUUAGGUUGGAUGAUUGCAUACGACAACCCAAAACAUUCCCUACAAGUUCCCUACAUGAAUUGCAUAAUAGAGAUACAAGCAAGAAUCAUUAAGUUCUAUGAAAAACAUAAGCAUGGACGAGGCACUCGUUACUAUGAUUUGCAUGAAACUUAUGCCAAGAGUUUACUUAACGUGAUUGUGACUAGCAACCUUCACUACUUGUGAAUAUAAGUUUAUAACAAUUAGGUGAAACUCCCUUAUAUUCUAGCGUCAAAUUCAUACAUGAAAAUUAAGCGUGCACUCUUAACCAACAUACACAAAUUAGUUUUUAUAUGAACGGAUAAGUAAAUUGAAUUCACAACUUAUGAAUCACAACUGGAUGUAAUCAAAUCAUAUUGCAAGUAUGAACAUAGUUUCGAAUCACCCCCUAACUAAGAGGGGUUUAGUUCCUCAUACUCACAAAGCAAAGAUACAUAAAAUUAGACAUUAAAAUCAAAGGAAAGAAAACACCUAAAAUGCUCCAACUUGGUAGCAAGUGCAUCCAAGAUUCCUCCUUUCCCUUGCUUGCGGCAGAUUGGGUUAUGGACAGAUUUUGUGUAGUUUUAUGAUGUAGAAUGGAUGGGGAAUGGUAUGGAAGGGUUUAGGGUGAGUGUGGAGGAGUGUUUGAUGGUUGGAGGGUGGUGGAGAACUAGGCAAAGAGGGUGGAAGAAGGUGGAGUGGCUGUUAUGUUUUCUAGGCACUAGAAUAGUGUUUUUGGGGUGUUUUGCUUCCUAGGGUGUGUAUGGACGAAUUUUUGUGAUAAAAUGAUGAAUAUGGGGGAUUGUCCUUUGGCCAAGGGAUGUAAACAUGUAUUUAUAGGCCCCCAAAAACCUUAGAAAAUCAGGUUAGGUUAAGGAUGAAAUGCAUGGCAAUUUGUGUGUGUGGUGUGCAAUGGUCCAAGGGUGAAAAUGAAGUAAUGAUGCAAAGUGUGAAGGGUAAAAUGGAGUGGUGUUGUAGCUAGGGAGCAUGAAUGAUUGUGUACAUUGCAUAGAGAUGGAAAGGGAGGUGAAAUGUGUCAACAAAUGGGUCAAAUGUGCAACAACAUGUGUUGCACAUGGCAUUGGAUUCCAAAUGUGAAUGAUGGAGCAUCAAUUGGUGCAUGUAAUGGAUGUAAAUAUUGUCUAAAAUCUAAUGAGUGAAGGGAACAAGAGGUAUCAAGCAAUUGAGUGUAAUAAUUAAAAUGAAUUGAAGCAUGAAAUUAGAAAUUAUGUAGGGGACAAGAGUGAUCAAGCAUGGCAUGGAAUCCAAAGGGAAUUCUAUGUGGUUUGCAUGGCAAGGAAUGCAAGUUGGGGUGACAGAUUUUUGGGCUGUUUUCUUCAUCUUUUGGACCAUAAUUCUUCAUAUUCUUGGCCUCUUUAGUUCUCAAAAUCGUCCAUCCACUUGGCCCAUGCAUUUGCUAUCCAUUCCAAGCCCGAAACAUGCUCCAAAGGCCUCCAAAAUGCAUCUUCUUGCAUACUUUGUCCAUAAAAUCUGAAAACACACGAAAAUGACUUUAAACAUUAAAAUAACUAAGGAAACACGACAUAAAUGCACAAGAACAAGCCAACUAAGUCGCAUAAAUGUGCUCCUAUCAUGACUGUCGACUAGUCCCCUAGCCACCUGAUAUGCACUCCAAACAGUAAGCUUACCACUUCAUUCAUAAUGCCAAAUGCGCCGGCCUUCAACAUCCCUUACACUAAGGGAAAUACUUCGAAUUAUCUCUACUUCUUCAGGUGAGAAGGUAUCAACCAGCAACAGAAUAUCCCAUUGCUUCAUCCCACUCUAGAAAAGUCGUUCCACUGUGUCCUCCAUAUCCCAGUUCACCGGUGGGGGUGUUAAAAUCUAAAAAUAAUUCUCUCUGGGAACCCAACUUGAAGGGAAAAUUAUGAGUUUAACACAUGGGAUUUCUAAAUGACUAGCAUGCAUAUACAAUUCAAAAUUUAUAUACAUGAGCAACGGAAGCAAUUUAUCAAAUAAUAUCAAAGCUAUAGUCAUGCAAAUCCCCUUCAAGGUUCAUAGGUUUAUAUACAAUGCAUCAAAACAUUUUAGUAAAGAACAAAGUGAAAGUUUAGUCUUAUACCUCUUGAUCUAGACUUGAGACCAAGGAUGGACCACCUCUAAGCCCUUUGUUCCUUGAAGUCUUUGAGCCUAGCCUCCCUCCUUGCCUCCUCCACUUUGUUAGUAAGAGUGCUCCAAGGUUCUCCUUUAGUCUCCAAAGGAGAAGACCUCUAAAGAUCCACACCCAUUAGUGUAGUGAGAUGGAUGGAGGAAUAACCAAAAGGGUGAAAGAUUGUUAGCCAAAACACCCUCUAGGUGGCCGGCCUUUGUGGUUUUAGAGAGCUAUUUUUCUUUGCCUCUUGUUGUUCAAAAACACACAAAAACUCUAAGGAUUAAAACUCUAUAAAGUUCCUUAUAUAGACAAAAAGAAACCUAGUCAACAACUUGACUAAAUAUCUCUCCCAAACCCUUUAAGUGGUCGGCCCUUUAGUGUUUGGUUUGGGCUUUGGGCUUUUAUUAUUUCAAGUCAUCCUAUGCUUGAAUAAAAGCCCAAUGGGUUUAGGCCCAAUGGGCCCAAUUAAACCCGAACGUUUCUUUAAGCCCAAAACGAUCUUUUAUCGCUUUUAUGAUUUCUUUAGACUUUCUAAAUUAAUCACAACACUUAAUUAAUCCAAUUAAUUAUUUCCAUCAUCCAUUAAUUACUCACUACAAGAGUGUAUCGGUGUACAAUCAUUUUAGGUUCUAAUUAGCAAGGCAGUGAGGUGAUUGACAUCAAUCCAAUUGAUUAUAUUUAAUCCAAUCACUUAGUAAAUUAAAAACUUCAUUUUAAUUCACCUUUCUUCUUUGAUGACUACAUUUAAUCAUCUAGAAGAACUCACAAGCUAUGAGUGACAUCUAACCAUAUGUCAUAGCUACCCAAGCUAAUGUAGAAGUUGUUCGGAGAACCUAUUCAGUUGGAAUUACAAUGUAAUUCGAUCCUUCUCUAAAACAAUACUCUCAAUCACAUUACUAGGGUAUGGAUAUAUUAUGUCAAACCCCUAAUGUGAUUAUUCCUUCUUAUAUGAUUCUAUUGAGUCGUAUAGGAACGCUUUCCUUUAUUACGCUUGAUACUUCGGCCGAAGAUUCCCGAAUCAUAUCUUAGAGUAUUCUUCCCUCUAAUCGAGGAUUAGAGAUUCCUUGUUGCGCAUUCACUUGCCUUCAUGACUAAGUGGCUUAAACCCCAAUUAUGCCGUGGACAUCCGCGAAUGGGGUGACUUUGACAUAAUCAAAGAUUAAGUACUUAGCCACAAGACAACGACGAUGCCUCAGGUCAAAGGACUACUUACAUUAUUCCAACCAUUAGAGUUACUUGCUUGACAUGUGAGUAGACCUCCAUGCAAGUACUCUCGUUCGAUUGUGUUCAGUGAACUAAUUCCCUUAAUGAGCACCUACAUACUUGUCUUAGUGUCACAACACGAAUGGGAUGAGACUUUCCAUCCUUCCAUUUGAAGCGGACACAGUAUGUACCGGUCUAAGCAUUGUCAGUUUCCCUCCGACAAUCCAAUGACUAGGAACCUUUUUGGACAUAAUGGUUAUGUGAAGAAGGUCUCUGUAGUCUAACAUCAUUAGAUUACUUCUUCAAUCGAUCUAUUGUCCAUGGAUACACUAUUUAGGACAUAUAUCGUUUAUUGAGAUAGUCCUAAUUCGUGUCUUUGCCAUUUGAUGUAUAAGAGUCAUCCAUACAUCGAUUCAUUUGUCCUGAAAGGUUUCUUCCAAAGAUUGACUUUCAGGGCAUAUUUCCAACACAACUAUCCUUCCAUAUCUGAAUCUUCUUGCCAUUACCCACUUGCAACCGAUGGCCUCGGUGAAUCACCUCCCUCAAGGCUGCAAUACUCCUCCAUACAUAAGAGUUAUUGGGCAUUACCAGUGCAUCCAUAAAUUCUGACAGAGGGAAAUACCGAGCUUUGAACACCUGGAAAGCGAGGGCGUCAGGUUGCUGGAGGAAUCACCAAGCCUGUUUUGCUAGAAUAGCCAAAUUAAAAGCAUAGAGAUCUCUAAAACCGAGACCCCCCCCCUCAUGUUUAGGCUUAUAUAAAAUCCACCAGUUAAGCCAUUGUAUUUUCCUUUUCCUGGGAUCACCACUCCACCAAAAUUUAGCUAUCAUCCUAUUCAGCUCCUCACAAAAAGUUUUAGGUAGCAAAAAGCAUUGCAUGGAGUACAUAGGUAAUGCUUGUGCCAUCGUUUUGACUAAUAAUUUGCGACCCACACUGCUUAAUAAACCACCCUUCCAACUUUGUAACUUCUUCCACAAUCUAUCCUUUAUAUAUGCAAAAGUUUCCUUUUUCGAUUUUCGAACUAGAAUUGGCAAUCCCAAAUAUUUAUCAUGAAACUCCACCCUUCUUAUACCGAGACAAUCAGCUAACAACUGCUUAUCAAAACUAGUAAGAUUCGGACUGAAUGAGACACAACUCUUCUCGAAAUUCACCGCUUGACCCGAAGCCAUCUCAUACAACCACAAGAUUUGUUUGAUCUUCAGACACUUUCCAACCGUACCACGAGCAAAUAGAAAGCUAUCGUCGGCAAAAAAAUAAGUGGUGAAUACUAGGGGCCCCUCGGCACACCCUAAUCCCCUGCAAAUCCCUAUCGGCCACUACUCUUCUCAAAAGCGCCAAUAAGUCUUCCGCAUAAAUAACAAACAAGUGGGGAGAAAGAGGGUCACUCUGUCGAAUACCUCUUGCCGGAUGCACAUAGCACACCAGGUCCCCAUUCACCUUAAAAGAAUAAGUUACCGUAGUGACACAAAGCAUAAUCAUACGGGUCCAAUGCUCUAAGAAUCCCAUACGACCCAUCACAGCUUCCAAAAAGCCCCAUUCCACCCGAUCAUAUGCUUUUCUAAUAUCUGAUUUCAGGGCCAUAGGCCCAUUAAACCCCGAUAAGCGCUUAUGCAUAUAAUGAGCUACCUCAGCAGCUACCAAAUAAUUAUCAGAGAUUAAACGGCCAGUAAUAAAAUCACUCUGAGUUGGGGAAAUAAUACAUGGGAGAAUAACUUUCAAUCUAUUUGUAAGUACCUUCGCAAUGAUCUUAUAAAGCACACUACACAGACUGCUUGGGCGUAGUUGCAUCAUCAACAUUGCAUCCUUCACCUUAAGGAUUAGUGUGACAUGGGUAUAGUUUAUCUUCCGUAAUAUUUAACCCAAGGAGCAUGGAUCGAACACCAUUACAUAUAUCCGCACCCACCACUCCCCAAUGUUUUUGGUAGAAAUCAGGAGACAUACCAUCAAGGCCAGGGGCUUUUGUAGGAUGCAUUUGGAAGACGGCACUUUUAAUUUUCUCAUCCGUGAAUGGGCGCUCAAGAUCGAUAUUCAUUUCCUCUGUAACCGAAUGAGCAAUAUGACCAAGAAUCUCCUCACAGUUUAGGCCCCCAUUGGAAGUGAACAACUUUGAGAAAUACGACACCAUAACCUCCUCCAUCCUUGCUCGGUCGUCAUGCCAAACACCUUCAUCAUCCAUAAGGCCAAAUAAACAGUUACGUUUCUGUCUCCUAUUCACUUUCUGAUGGAAGUAUUUUGUGUUACAAGCAAGGUAUAAAAUAUCGAUGAUAUCGGAAAUAUCGGUAGUCCAAAAACAUAGAAAUUUCGAUGGAAAUAUCGGGAUAUUAUUGAUAUUGAUAAAAAUUGAAUAAAAACCACGGAAAUUGUAAGAAAAACUUGGAAAUUUUUAUUGAAACUUUGCAGGAUGUUUAUUUAGUCAAUUAUCUAUUAGUUUAUCACAAAAAAAAAUUGGAAGGAAAUGCGUUGCAUGAUAGAACUAACUGAUUUAAGUUGAUUAUAUAGUGAGCUGGCAACAUUAUGAGUGUAGAAAAUAUGUAGUAAUUAAUGAAAGAAGUUUAAACACACCAUAAUCAUUUAUAUAUAAUGAAUUAGUACAAUAUUUUACACUUUAUACAUUGCAUGGUAAGACACAUGAGUGACUUAGUAAGGUCUAAAAUAUCGAUGAUAUCGGAAAUAUCGUUAGUCCAAAAAAAUAUCGGUAGUCCAAAAACACGGAAAUUUCGAUAGAAAUAUCGGGAUAUUAUGGAUAUUUUAGACCAUGGUUACGAUCACCUAGCUUGAGCCAAUUUUCUUUAGAUCGUUGCCUCAAAAACUGCUCCUUUUGCCCAAGAAGUCUAUUCAAUUUGCCAAUCAAUUCCUUUUUCUGCGCAAUAGACUCCUUCAAAAACGAGUGCCCCAAUAGACUCGUGAGCUUAUCCUCCACUUCCCGAAUCUCAACAGGUCUGGUUCCAACAUUGCUCCUCGCCCACCUAUUUAGCAUCAUUCGAGUCAUCUUUAUUUUCUCUGUAACUUGGAACAUCGGUGAACCCUCAACGGUAUACUCCCACCCAUCCCGUACCACAUCCGCCACCCCCUCCUGCAUGUGCCAACGCUCCUCAUACCGAAACUAUUUUUUACCACGAAGUGGAGUACGGCCUGACCAAUUAAGCAACACCGGAACAUGAUUAGACUUCGUCUUGUUCAAAUGCUUAACAGUGAAACGUGGAAACAUGUCCACCCAUUUUGAGUACACAGGGCUCAAUCCAAUCUUAUCCUGAUUCCACCACCCCUAGUUGUAAACCAUGUAAACUUGUUCCCCGAAUAACCCUAAUCAAUGAAGUUACAAAACUCCACAAUCGAUCGAUAUUUUAAAAUCUCUUUUUUUACGUACUAUACUCAUUAAUAUAAGCUAUUCUAUCUUUUGUCCAUAGCUUUAAUAUGUAAUGAGGAAGGGAAAAAAAACUCAAUUUAUCCAGACUUGCAACAUAAACAAGUUACCAGGGUUGUCAUUCUUCUCAAAGUCUUAAAUCUUGGAAGUCAAGACUCUUAACAACUCUAUCAUUUUCUUUUCUCUAACACUUUAUGCUAUUGCAUGGAAUUAGUAAGCCAUCUCUUAAUUUGUAGUAGGAUUUCCAGCUACAGUGAAUUGGUUUUAACUAUCCGGAGAAAUAUUUAAAUUAAUUAAAAUAAUGGAAUAAGGGUUAUGAAGUUUAUAUACAUCCAUAUAUUUUUUGGGCAUGGAAAUGUAGAAAAUAGAACCUUAGCAGGUAAGGAAUUAGGAUUUAAGAGAGAGAGAGGGAAAUGUAGAGAGAGAAAGAAUUGUGUGAAAUAUACUUUCCAUUAAUCACAUAUCUAUGUACAUUGAGUAUUUAUACAUAAAUAUUGAGAUCAACACCUUAUGUUAACUCAUCACUACCUUAACUAACAUAUAGACUAAAGUACUAAUUUGGUGCUUCACAUCUUUGAUAAGAUUGUGAACCUUCAUUACUCCUAACACACCCCCUAAAGUUGAAGGUAGAAGAACGAACUGAAAGCUUGUCAGCCAAGGAAGCAAACCGUGCAGCAUGAAGGGACUUGGUGAAAAUGUCAGCAAUCUGUGACAAUGUGCCAACAUGUUGGACACCAAUCUGACACAAAAGAAUCUUCUCACGGAUGAAAUGGUAAUCAAUUUCAACAUGCUUGGUGCGAGCAUGAAAAACCGGAUUGAAAGCUAAUGUUAUAGCACUCUUGUUAUCAUAGAAAAUAACAGGUGGUCGGAGAAGAGGAAAGGAAAUAUCAGAAAGAAUCUUGCAAAUCCACGUGACCUCUGCAGCACUAUUUGCAAGUGAUCGGUAUUCAGCUUCAAUGGAGGACCGAGCCACUGUGUUUUGUUUCUUAGCACUCCAAGCCACCAGAUUUGAGCCCAAAAAUACACAAUAUCCACUGGUAGAGCGUCUGUCAACCGGGCAGCCAACCCAAUCAGCAUCAGACCAAGCUGUUAGAUGUUGAUGACCUUUUGUAAACCAUAGACCUAAGUCAAUGGUACCUUUGAGAUACCGUAAGAUACGUUUGACAGCCUGCAAAUGAAUAGUUCUUGGGGCCUGCAUGUGUUGACAAACUUGGUUAACAGCAAAGGCUAGAUCCAGUCGAGUCCAGGUAAGGUAUUGCAAAGCACCAACAAUGGAUCUGUAGGAAGUAGGAUCAGGAAGAAGGGCACCAAAGUGAUCCAGUUUGGAAGAACUAACUGGAAUGCUAGAAGGUUUAGCACCCAACAUAUCUGUUUUCUUAAGUAAAUCCAAAGCAUACUUUGAUUGAUGAAGAAAUAAGCCUUUGGAAGACCUUUGCACUUCAAUCCCUAGAAAAUAGUGAAUAUCACCAAGGUUUUUAACAGGAAACAGAGUUUGAAGCUGAGAGAUGAUGGUUUGACAGACUGAAGAAGAGCUGCCGGUGAUGAUUAUAUCAUCCACAUAAACUAAGAUGAAUGUAAUAGUUGUAUCUUUCUUGAUGAAGAGACUAGUAUCAGAUGUAGAAGAGGAAAACCCCAAGGAAAGAAUGGCACUAUAGAAGGCUUCAUACCAGGCACGAGGAGCCUGUUUAAGACCAUAUAAAGAUCGCUUAAGCUUGCAAACAUGUGUAGGUUUGGAGACAUCAACAAAACCAGGAGGAUGCAGCAUAUAGACAUCCUCUUUCAAAUAUCCAUGUAGAAAUGCAUUGCUAACAUCUAAUUGAUGUACAAACCAAUCAUAGUGAACUGCAAUGGAAAGAAAGAUCCUGAUGGUUGGUGGUUUAGCCACAGGACUAAAAGUCUCUGAAAAAUCUAAACCUUCUUGUUAAUGAAAACCUUUAGCCACUAAACGUGCUUUAUACCGUUCUAUAGACCCAUCAGCUUUAUGUUUCACUUUGAAAACCCAUUUACAACUGACAAGAUUGUAAGAUGGAUGAUGAGGUACCAAAUCCCAUGUACCUAUGGAUUGAAGGGCCUGAAACUCAGCUUUCAUUGCUGCCCUCCAAGAAGCAUGUUUAGAAGCCUGGAGAUAAGUAGUUGGUGUGGAUAGAAUCUUGGUGAGAGGAUCCACUGAUGAAGGAAAAUGAUGCUUAGUAGCUGUGAAAAUUUUGGGUUUGCAGAUGCCAGCCUUUGCUUGAGUAAUCAUAGGAUGAGUGUUGUGAGGUGCCGUUGGUGAAACAUGUUCCUCAAUACUGGAAUCAGUGACUGAGAGAGAUGAUGCAUACAUGGAUGGUGCAUGGGAGAUAUCAAGACUUGCAGAUUCCUGAGGUUAAGAGACAGCACUGAAAGAAGAGAUGGGUAUAGGUAUGGUCACUGAAAUCGGAGAAGAUGCAGGAUUGGAAUUGGAGAUUGCAGAGGACUGAGGAACUAAGAAAUUGUGAUGAAGGUAAGGAAAAUAACUCUCAUCAAAUACAACAUGCUGAGAGAUGUAAAGUUUCUCAAUGAGAGGAUCAUAACACCUGUAGCCAGUGUGAUUUAAAUUGUAUCCCAGAAAAAUGCACAGUUCGCUUAUAGGUUCUAACUUGUGACUGGAGUAAGGUUUAAGCAAUAGAUAACAUGCACAACCAAAAGAUUUCAAUGUAUGAUAUUUGGGUAAGGCUUGAAACAAUAUCUCCUAUGGACUCAAGAGAGAAGUUUGUGGUGGCAACCUGUUGAUGAGAUAAACUGCUGUUUGAAAAGCUUCAACCCAAAAUUUAGGAGGUAAACCACUUUGAGAGACUAAAGUCUUGCCCAUUUCAACAACAUGACGAUGUUUCCUCUCAGCACACCCAUUUUGUUCAGGUGUGUGAGGACAACUCAGUUGAUGAGUAAUACCUUGAGCAUUAAAGAAACCCUGAAGUUCGUUGCUUAAAAACUCACCCCCUAAAUCUGAUCUCAAACAUUAAACUUUGGAUGCAAAAAGUGUUUGAACUUUCAAAAUAAAAGUUUUGAGGACUGAAGGAACAUCCGAUUUGAGAAAUAAAGGAUAUAACCAACUGUAUUUUGUGAAAUCAUCCAGUAGUAUUAAUUAGUAUCUGUAACCAGUACAAGAGGAAGUAGGAGAAGGUCCCCAUACAUCAGCAUGAACCAAAUGAAAAAGCUUGACUGAGAUACAAGGCAAAACAAAGAAUGGGAGCUUAGAAGCUUUACCCAUUUGACAAGCUGCACAAAUGGACAAUUUAUUGACGGAACCAGUUACAGGUAAAUGAUGAGUGCGUAAAACAGAAUGUAAAACUGCAUUAGAAGGAUGUCCAAGCCUUCUAUGCCAAAGAGAAAUAUCAGCCUUUGCAACCAUCAGCGCACGAGGAGAGACAGUUAUCCUAGAAGAACCAUCAGAAGCAUUCCAAUAGAAUGGAUAAAGACCACCUUCACUGGGGCCCUGGAAGAGCAUCUUCCCAGUUCUUAGAUCCUUGAUGUAGAAUCCAAAAGGGUCAAAUGCUAGAGAGCACCAGUUAUCAUGAACAAAUUUGUACACAGACAACAAAUUAUGCGAAGCUUAGGGGACAAGUAGGACAUUGUUAAGUCCAAAAGCAACAUUAGAUGUGCGUAUAAAGCAUGACCAAUAUGAGAUAUGCACAGACCUUUACCAUCACCAACAAAUAGCUGCUCAUUGCUAGUGUAAGGAAUGGCAGAAUUGAGAGAAGAAGGAUUUGGAGUAACAUGGUGAGAAGCACCACUGUCUAUGAUCCAGUAAUUUGGUGUAGCCUGAUGUACUGCAGUCAUAGCCAUAGGAGAGUAGGCUGGAGGCAUUGAAGAAGCAAAUUGAGAGAGUCAGCCACACUGAAGAGCCUGAUGGCCAUGUUGAUUACACAACUGACAUGGAUUUGAUUUCCCAGAGGAGAAAUUCGAUUGAUUAGAUGAUGCGUAAAAUAACUAAACACACAAAUUAACCCUCUUUUUGACAAUUGUAGUAUAGAUGUAAGUAGGGUAUCGUUCUAGGCCGGGGAUUAGGAGGGAUUGCUAAUCUAUUCUAAAUUAAUUUAAAAAUAUUAAACAAGACUCAAGGACACAAAACUAGGCUAAAAGCUCUAAUAACUCGAAACACACUUAGAAUGACUCAAAAUAAUGAAAACAAUCAAAUUAGACACUAGGAACUGAAAUGGACGGAAAUUGAAUUAAAAGACUAACAACAAUGAAAACUAACUAAAUAAUAUAAUUUAAUAAUGGGGAGGGUUUGGUUUUUACGAGAAGUAAAUUAAACUUAAAUAAAUUACAGAAUUGACAAAAGCAUGAAAUUAAGGUGAAAGGAUUGGUGACGGACUAGCUAGAGGGUUCUUCUCCACACAUGACACAUAUGCAACCUAAAUUGAUUUUCAGUUGUUCUUUCAAUAAAUUGUAAAUCUCAACGCCCCAAAUUAACCGUGAAUUGCACUAAUUAACCCUCAGUUUUUCCACAAGUUAUUGGGUUGGAUGAUUGCAUACGACAACCCAAAACAUUCCCUACAAGUUCCCUACAUGAAUUGCAUAAUAGAGAUACAAGCAAGAAUCAUUAAGUUCUAUGAAAAACAUGAGCAUUGACGAGGCAUUCGUUACUAUGAUUUGCAUGAAACUUAUGCCAAGAAUUUACUUAACGUGAUUGUGACUAGCAACCUUCACUACUUGUGAAUAUAAGUUCAUAACGAUUAGGUGAAACUCCCUUAUAUUCUAGCGUCAAAUUCAUGCAUGUAAAUUAAGUAUGCAUUCUUAAUCGACAUACAAAAAUAAGUUAUCAAUCAAGCAGUUAAGCAAAUUAAAUCACAACUCAGAAAUCACAACUGAAGGUAAUCAAUUCAUAUUACAAAUAUAUUCAUGGCUUUGAAUUAACCUCUAGCCAAAAUAAAUUUAGUUACACAUAAUUCUCAAAUUAAACCAAAAGUAAAACAUGAGUUUGAGAAGAUAAAACCAAGAAAAAUAAAGUGAAGCUUCUUCUUCCCUUCCUGCCGUCUGUUUCUGCCCGUGUCUCUCUCUGCUUCUUAUUUUUCCGUGCCUCUGACCUCUGCUCUUCUCCUCCUGUUUCUUUUCUUUAUUUUCUGCUUCUGACCUCUGUCAGUCUCCCCCCUUUCCCUUUUCCUCCGACCUCUCGUCUCUUUUUCAUUUUUUUAUUCCUCCAUCAUUCCCUUCUGCCAUUUCUUUUAUUUCUUUUAUUCUUCCACUGGUCCAUGUCUUCCCAUCAAAUUCUUUCUUUUCUUUCCAUUAGUCUUGCCGUGCAUUUUCUUCUCCCUUCACAACAUGAAUCAUGAUGAUGUUUCAAACAUCAUCAUGACUCAUCAUUAUCUCUUUUUUUUUUAUUUAAUUUAAAAGCUGAUCUACACAGACAGUUUUGACGAAUUUAUUACAUAAAAUUUCACUUGUUCUAUUUUUAUUUUCUUUGCAUAACAAAUCCUAUAAACACAAAAAUAACGUAAAUAGCUCAAAAAUAUAAGGAACUAACUAAGAAAAGACGAGUGAAUUCGAAGUAAAAAUAUAUAUAAAUAUGAUCCGAUCAUUAGACGGAAAACCACUAGAUCGAGAUGGACCAGCACCAAGAAUUCCACCAUUUUGAUUGGUGAAGCGAUUGCCCCCAAAAUUUCGAUUUUGAUGGAAUCUAUUGUGAUUUUGAUUACGACCUCGAUAAUUCCCUCGGAAUCCAGAGUGAUGACCAGAGGUAGUAGAGGAUUGAGCAGUAAGAGCAUGAAAUGGAGUAAAUGUAUUAGAUGCAGUCAAUCGAGUCUUACGUUUUUGAAAAGAAAUUUCCUUACUCAAGAGUAAACCAUGAAGUUCAUCAGAGGUUAUAGACUCAUUUCUAGUUUCGAUCGAGUCAACAAAUGACUCAUAAUCAUCAGGAAGACCAGACAGAAUAUAGGCUACCAAAUCAGACUUAAAAAUCGGCUCACCCGCAGCAACUAAUUUAUCAGAAAUUUCUUUAAUCGAAUUGAGAUAAUCAAUCAUCAAAGAAUCACCUUUUUGAAUCGUCUGAAUCUUAGCACGAAGACUAUAAAUGUGUGUAAGAGAAGCUCCAGCAAAACGUUUUUCUAGAGAAAGCCAGAGAGAUCGAGAAUCAUGCAUACCAACAGUCAGAGGGAAAAGAUCUUCCGAGAGAGUCGAAUUGAUCCAAAUCAUCAAGAUUUGAUCUCAUAUACACCAAAUGUCAUGCGCUGAAUUAAGAACACGAAGUCCAGCGGAAUCACAAACAAAUUGAGAGGGGCAUACAUCGGUGCCGUCGAUAAGCCCUAAAAGCUUAAAUUGCUUCAGAACUCGAAGAAAUAUAUUGCGCCAGGUAAUGUAAUUGUGACGAGUCAACUUCGUCGGAACCAUACCGGCGAUGUUCUGAACAGUGAUCGAGGCAAUCGGAGCAAGGAGAGGAUUGGAAACCUCAGCGUGAAGAGCAGAAGCUAAAGAAUUUGCAGGAGAGAAGAGUGGGAGGAGUUCGCCGCUGUAGCCAUAGCGAAUCACACAAAAAAUUAAAGAAAAAAUUGAGACAAGAUCUGUUUGGCAGGUGAGAAAAUGCAAGAAAAUCAAGAACGCAGAAGCGGGAGAUCAACGUCGGUGGACUCCGGCGAGGAUACCAUGUAGAAAAUAGAAUCUUAGCAUGUAAGGAAUUAGGAUUUAAGAGAGAGAGAGAGAGGGAAAUGUAAAGAGAGAAAGAAUUGUGUGAAAUAUAUUUUCCAUUAAUCUCGUAUCUGUGUACAUUGAAUAUUUAUGCAUAAAUACUGAGAUCAACACCUUAUGCUGACUCAUCACUACCUUAACUAACAUAUAGACUAAAGUACUAAUCUGAUGCUUCACAUCUUUGAUAAGAUUGUGAACCUUCAUUACUCCUAACAGGAAAUUCGACAAAGUAGUUGAGGUAAGGACUCUCUCUUGCAUUUACAACAUCCACAUGCAGUUUCCUUUCGAGCAUUUCAAACCUUAAGAGGCUCACAAUUUCAAGUCCCUCUCGCUCCUCCACUUAUAUAUGUCCCCGAAAUAACGUAAAAUUACAAACCCUCUCAUGUAAAUGUUGGCAAGGAAAAUGAAACGUUAUAGCUAAAUGAUCCCUUUUCUUAAUCUAUAGCCAGGGCAUACGAUUCCCUUUUUGCUGAUGAAAUGCAACCAGAGACUAAGUGCUGCUUUUUGGGAAUCCAUUUCUUAUGAAAUGCUUUUGAUCAGGAAAUCCUUUACAAAGCUACCAACUUUGAGCAAGCGGAACAUACAUAGGCAGUUAAUAGUGUGCAUUUUUGCUUACCACGGUCAAGUGUUGGUAAUGAUUACCAUCCUACUUAUUAUCAUUGAAUGAGUUAAAUUUGAUAUUUGUGUCUAUCAACUACACAAAUCUUGAAAUUUAAACUCAUCUAACGGUAAUAAAUAGGAUGGUAAAGAUCAUCGUUACUUGGGGUAGUGAGCAAAAAUAUUCUGUAGGUUAAUAAUAGUAAAGAAUAAUAAAACCGUUAUUAUAAUAGGUAGACGCCAUAUAUAAAACUGUGAAAGUUACAAUAAUAGGUUCAAUUAUUGAUAGUGGUCAAGGUGGAAGAACAAUGCCAGCCAUAGACUUUAUUCUAAGGUCAUGGAAUGGAAGCAUUCCUCCUGGAGACAUACAAUAAGUCUUAACUGUCAAGCUCGAAUUUUCUUCUUCUUAUUGCAACCCCACAAAUUUUAAAUGCCUUGUGAUCUUACACUAUGUUUGAAGAAUUUCUUACUCCUUAACUACGCUAAUUUGAAGCAACUAUAUUUUUCUUUAAUACAAUGUUAUUAUGAAAGGGACGGAGAGAUUGGCUACAAUGAGACAAACAUCAAAAUUUGAUAUUGAACUCUAUGUAUAUGAGAGUCAAACCUAAAAUCUGUCACCUAUAAACGGAGAGAGAUCCUAGUAAUAAGUGACAUAGCUAAAUAAAUAGUUUAGUGGUAUCUCAAAUUCCAAUGAUGAAAUAGGUUACCAAUUUCGAAACCCUACUCCCCCUUCUACAGUCAGUGACGGAUCUGGCGUAACAAUCAUUGAAGGAGGGGGGCAAUAACAAAUUUGUUAACACUAGUAUAAUUCCAUUCAGUUCAAUUUGUUGUUAGCCAAUUAACAUGGAAGCUGAGAGGGCCAUAACAAACUUCAAUCCACAUGUAGAUGCACGAUGCUAUUCUUUUGACUAUAAUGUUCUUUGACUGAAAUCUUGUUGGUUUUCAGUUUUUUAUCAGUCUCUGAUAUUGAAGUAAUAAUGUAUUUCUAUGUAGGUUAUUAUAUUUUUUCAAUUAAAAUUUGAAAUUUGUAAUUAUUUAUAUUAACAUAUAUUUGAAGAAUUAAAAUAAUUAUUUUAAAUAAAUAAAUAUUUUAAAUUUAAAAAAAAAUAAAGUUGUCGAAUUUUUUAAAGUAAAGUUUUAGCAAUGCACUUACAUAUUGUUGACAUACGCGUUCCGUAUUUUACUAACUAUGGUUAGGGCUAAAAGGCUAUAAAUAAUCUUUGUUGCCUAAAUUUUUUUUUUUUUCACCCCAGAUUUUACUUAUCAAUGUUUGCAUUCCUUGUAUAAAAUUAAAAGUUACAUUAUUAACAAUAUAUCAACAAUGUUUAUGAUAAUUAUAAAUAGGUUAAUCAUUUAUUGUAUAUGCCACUAUAGCGGAUACCCACUUCAACUGACACCAUUUUUUCCUAGUUUUUAUAUUUUGGAAUAAGUCAAUACGAAUCAGACAUUGCAACAUAGUGUCUGUUUCUGUAUUAUGUUUUCUACAUUUAGAUUCAAACACUGCAUUGCAGUGUCCAUUUCCUGAUUUUAUUUUUUUCAUCACUCACAUGCCUCCUACAUGUCUUUUACAUUUGGAUUCAGACACUGCAAUAGAGUGUUCAUUUCCCGGUUCUUUUUUUUACUUUUGGAUUCGUACGUUGUGUUGCAUUGUCCGUUUUCUGGUUCUGUUUUUUUUUUACUUUUGAAUCCAAAUGUAAAAAUCAGAAGUCGCGCGAGGUGAAGCAUAUAUGCUUCACCUCGCGCGACUUCUGAUUUUUACAUUUGGUUCAAACAUUGUAAUGUAGUGUCGUUUCCUACCUCUGUUUUUUACAUUUGGAUUUAGACACUACACUGCAAUGUCCAUUUCCUGGUUUUUUUUUUUUUUUUUCUCAAAGAUAGAAUUUAUUAGAUUCUAAUUUACAUCUUCCCCCAGGAUAUUGAAAAUAAAAUCUGGGCCAAUAAAACCCCAUAAAUAAAAACCUCCAUACUUAUAGACAUAAGAGGUAACAGCAUGAGCAGUGUGGUUGCACCUCUGAUAGGCAUACAUGAACGUUGCAUUUUGGAAUGUUUGAGCGAGAUUCUAGAUGUCAUCAAUGAUAUUCUCCAAAGAUGCAUCGGUUCCAGUUUCCUUUUUAAUCAUCUGCACGAUUAUCUUUGCAUCAGUUUCAAUCUCAAUAUACUAGAUGCCUUCCUUUGCACACUCCUGCAGCGCUGCCCUCAACGCAGUCGAUUCAGUUAUUUCAUCAGAAUGGAAAUACAGGUCUCCCUAUCCAACUGCAGAGUGCAACAGGCCAGCAAAGUUGCUUAUAACCCAUCCCACUCCACCUUUAUGUGAUUGUGGAUUCCAGGCUGCAUCACAAUUCACCUUAAGUGUCCCAAACUCUGGUCUUUUCCAUCUCACCAUUCUUCCUGCAAAAUCCAGUUCAUUGGUUCUUCCAUUGCAUUUGUGGUUGUUGUGCUUCCCCGUUGUGCUUCCUUAUAUUCAAACAUUUAUAUUAUGUUUCUCACAUUUGAAUUUAGACAAUUCAAUGUAGUGUCUAUUUCCUGGUUCCGUUUCCUUAAGUUGAGUAGACUCCUCCAUGUAAACGAAUGGCGAGAGAGAGAGAGUGAGAGGAUAUUCAUGUUCUUACUAUUCAUAAUAGCUUAAAGCUCAUAUGACAUUCAUAGAGAGAGAAAGACAGAGAAUGAUAGAAGAGUCAAGUUAUAACUAUUUAUAAUGACUUAAAGCUCAUGUGGCAUUCAUCAUUGACCUAUGCCUAAUUAGUAAAAAUAUACCAUAGAUUAAGCCUAGAACAAAAAUAUGCCAUUAAUAUGUGGCUAAAUAGUAACGUUUUUAUUGACUUUUAACUAAAUUACCUAAGAUUUUAUUUGAUUAUGUUAAAGGGUGUUGGAACCAAUUGUCCAACAUCGGCCAGACGGCCAAAGAGAAAACAGUUUAGAUAGAAAUACCCCUCUUUAACUAACACCGAUGACUUUUAUGAUAAAAACUCCACACCUGACGGAUUGAGUAGGUGGUAAAGUAGGAAUAAUAUCGGUGUUGUUAGGAUGGACCCUUGGCUCGUCGACCUGAAAAUUCUACAAAGGGAUAAAAAGUUAUUACGUUUUUAAGAAGGGAAUUCUGAAGAAAAGAAAAAGGAAAACGUAAGGGAAUAUUGUUAAUAUUAAUCAACUUCAAAAAAAAAAAAAUUAUCAUACACUUUCAAAUUGAAUAACAUUACAAAAUGUGGAAAGCCCAAACAAACAUAGUACAAAGGCCACAAAGCAAAAUUAGAAGAUGCCAACUCAAGCCUUAUAUCAUGCAUACAAGUUAAAUAGGAGAAAAUUGAACUUUUCCCUCAAUUCAAUUUACUAGAACAAUACUUUUCACGUAAUCUACAACCCUAUUCUCAUUAAUAAUAACAGGAAUAUGAAGAUACUUGAAGUUUCCGGUACAAGAAUUAUAAGAGGCAGCUCUUCCAUCGGAGGCAAUCAUAAGAAGCUCAUCACGUUUCCAAGGUGUCAAUGGAAACUCCAUGUCUUUAAAAGGUCCAACAGUUAGGUGUUUUGUCCAUGAACUCUUAA